UCAAAAUUAAGAUUCUUAUCUUAAACUCAGAAUCCACUAACAAACAUGUUAAGUAAGAUGCCAUCGAGGGGAAAUGAUAAACCAAAACAAUCAAAUACAAUGAAGAAUAAAUGGUGAACAUAAAGGAAUGACUGAAUUCUGGAAAAUAAUCAAAUACAAGUUCAUCGAAUUAUACCCCCCAAAAAAAAAACAAAAGUAUGAUAGUAAAACAGAAAAAGAAAAUAGAAGAGAAUAAUAACAAUAAAAAGCCACAAACUAGCAGCAGUAGCAGCGGCGCCGGCGGCUGCCAUUGUAAGCCUGGAAAAUUAUGGUUCUGAAAUUUUCAUCUCUAUACAUACAACAUUCUCUGCAACCUAAUCUCUUUGUCCAUGCCAUUUUUAUUUCACAACUCCAAAUACCCAUAACAAUUUUCUACUAAAUAUAGAAUUCUCCUCUUUCAAACUCUCUCUCUCUUCUUUCCACCAUCUUCAAUAACAUUCAUUGAAGCGGUCAAACCUAUGGUAGACUUUUUUUUUUUGGUUAGAAUCUCUUCAAUGAGCGAUGAGAAUUGCUCCCCAAGAAGAAAGAAGAGUUUUUUUUUUGGAGAUAAUGAAAUGCAAAGAAUAAGAAAAAGAAGCCGUGAUGAUAGCCAAAUACAAUUUUGUGAACAUUUUUUUUUUGCCUUUUGUGGUUUGUGAAGAAGGUUAUGAGAGGAGGAAAUUUCUCAAAAGAAUCAAUAGAAAGGUGGCGGAGGAGGUGAAGCGUAUGACACUCCAAUUAUUGGUGGCAAUGGUCCCUCAUACACAGGAGCUGGAGGGGGUGACAGUGGUGGUGGUGGAGGUGAAUGGUAAAUAACUGAAGGUGGUGGUGGUGGUGGUGAGGAAUAUGUUACAACGGGUGGUGGUGGAGGUGAAUGGUAAAUAACUGAAGGUGGUGGUGGUGGUGGUGAGGAAUAUGUUACAACGGGUGGUGGUGGAGGCGAAUGGUAAAUAACUGGAGGCGGUGGUGGUGGUGGUGGUGAGGAAUAUGUUACAAAGGGUGGCGGUGGUGAAGGUGAUGGGGGCGGCUUGUAAUGAAUUGGGGGAGGUGGCGAUGGGGAUGGUGGUGGUGGCGAGUACUCUACGCAUGGUGGUGGUGGCGGUGGAGGAAGUUCUAUACAUGGUGGAGGUGAAGGUGGAGGUGGAGAGUGAACCGAAGGAGGUGGGUAAUAAACAGGGGGUGGCGGCGACGGUGGUGAUAAAUAUGGAUAAAUUGGUGGAGGGGAGUGGGGAGGCGGUGGUGGAGAACGUGGUGGGGGUGGGGGUGAAUGAUGUGGCGGUGGGGGUGAAUGAUGUGGUGGUGGAGGAGAGUUAUAGUAGUAAGGAACUGGUGGCGGCGGGGAGAACAAUAGAGGGGGUGGAGGUGGUGAAUUUGGUGGUGGAGGUGGGGACCUCACACAAUAUAUUGGCGCAGGUGGUGAGGGUGAAGGGGGCGGUGGUAACGGAUAAGUAGGUGGCGGGGGUGAAGGCGGUGGAGGUGAUGGAUAUGUAGGGGGUGGGGGUGAAGGAGGUGGAGGUGAUGGAUAUGUAGGGGGUGGGGGUGAAGGAGGUGGUGGUGAGGGCGGUGGAGGUGAUGGUGGUGGAGGAGGUGGAGAGUAAAUAGGCGGUGGUGGUGGCGGAGGCGAAGGAGGAGGAGGCGAGAGAGGUGGUGGGGGAGGUGAAUAAACUGGUGGUGGAGGGGGAGGGGGAGAAUAAACGGGUGGUGGGAGUGAAGGAGGGGGAGGCGGAGAGGAUACAAGGGGUGGAGAUGGUGGUAGUGAUGGUGGUGGCAAAGCAACAGGGGGAGAAGGGACCGGAAUUGGCGGAGACGGCGGAGGAGGGGAAGGCAAAGAAGGAACAAAAGGAGCACAUUUAAAUGAAUUGCAGUCCACUGGCCUAGACAAGAAAGACUUACACUGCGCCGCGCUUCUUUGUAAAGGUCUUGCAGGCAAGCAAUUUCUUCUAUCAUCAAAUGCACGUAAGUUCAAGCAAACCGGCGGCUCUCCAGUGAAGAAAUUGUACGAGAAUGUGAAGUUCUGCAACUUGGGUAAUUGACAAACACGGGCCGGAAUUUUUCCAGACAACAUAUUAUGAGCCACAUUCAGCUGCUCAAGGCUCACCAGUUCCCCAAUUUGGUCCGGCAAAGGACCCAUCAACUCAUUAAAGCUAACAUCAAAAACAGUCAAGUUCUUAAGAUUACCCACUUCUUCAGGCAAACAAGAUCUCAACCCAUUGUUCAUCAUAAUGAUUUCUUCAAGACCCGUCAUGUUACCAAGACUCGACGGCACACAUCCAUGGAACUUGUUGUUAGCCAACACAAUAACAGAAACUGGAGAGUUACCAAAGUUGUCCGGAAGGUUAAACCUGAAGCGAUUGUGGUUGAUGAAAAUGGCAUCCAAGUCCUUGUCGAACAGUUCUUUUGGCACGGUCCCUUCAAACUCAUUGAACCUCAAAUCCAAGAAUUUAAGUGAAGGCAGCUUGAGAACCACUUCAGGGAACUUACCAGCAAACCUGUUGUUGCUAAGAUCCAACUCGAACAGUCUCUUGAGCUUGAUAAACUUGUGUGGAACAGUACCACAAAAACGAUUAGAGUUGAUGUGGAACAAUGCAAGAUCAGUAAGUAAACCAAGCUCUUCCGGCAAGUACCCAGCAAUAUCACCAUGGUUUAGAUCAAUGCCAGCAACAGUAUUGAUUCUCUUGUUAUCAAGUGCACGAGCACAGAACACCCCAGUGUAAUUACAAACACUAGAUCCAACCCAGUCACCAGUGAGAUUGUAAGGGUCGGAUAGUAUUGCUUGUUUCAAAGCUUGUAAAGCUAUGUAAGCAUUUCUCUGCCUUGGGUUUUCAAACACAAGAGAUGGGUCGACAGUGACCUUUUCGCCUCUAUCGCCGAACUCAUCUCUGUAAUAGAGGAGCUGGCGUUGCUUGAUGUAUGAAACUUCCUUGUCCGUAAGACCUCCAUGACUAGUAAUGGAAUGCUGCUCCGACGAACAGAAGAGGGCGAACAAAAAGAGAAGUGAGAGAUGAAAAGAAUGGAAGUUGAUGAUAUUACUCUUCUUCUUCAUCUCACAUGAGACAUUUGAUUCAAAAAAUGCCACUUUUUUUGUGUGUUUUGUUUGGUUUUGGCUCUAGAAUUCUCACCCUCUAAAAGCUUCAAAAAAGCUUUGAGUGAUGUGGGUUCACUUUGAGAUCCAAGGGAAGAGAUAUGGAUUUUGGGGGGUUUGAGGAGAGAGACAAGGGGAUGAAAGGGUGUUUUUCUAGUAGGAAUUGUAGGGCAUGUGCUUGUGUGAGAGAAAUGAAAAUAACAAUAAUAAAAAGAAGGAGAAGAAAAAGAGACAAAGGGAUGAAAGGGUGUUUUUCUAGUAGGAAUUGUAGGGCAUGUGCUUGUGUAAGAGAAAGGAAAAAAACAAUAAUAAAAAGGAGGAGAAGAAAAAAAGAAAUAAUAAUUCACCAAAAAGACAACUAAAUCACAGCUCAAAGCCCACCAAAUUCUGUCAUUAUCAUCCCCCUAAUUUUCGUUCUUAUUAACUCGUUUGCAAGGCUGACUUUAUUCUUAAUUAAAGCCCAUACUCCAUUUCAAGCUCUAAUAAGCUUAAAUUAAAAGAAUAAACUCGUACAAUUAAUUUAAGGCAAAUUUUACCCAAAACGCAAAAGCGUGUCGAUGAAGGAGCCAAAGUUCCGACGAAAGGUUGACCAGAGAGACAUGGGGUGGGGUGGGUUGUUGAUAUCACAAGAUUAAAGUGAAAAUAUCACGAGUGAUUGGGAACAUAAAUUUUGGUGGUGGGAAAUCAAUGGUUUCAAUCCAAGUUUUUAAGCUUGGUGAUGGGGUUGUUUUGCUUCUUUUAUGUUGUCAACUCACGCACUAAAUUAAAUACCACUAACGCUCCAUCAAAUUACCUUUGUUUAUAUUUAUUUCUAUUUCAUUUUUUAAAAAUUAUCUCUUCCUAUUUUUUAUAAAAUAAUUAACAUCUAAAUAUUUUUUCAAUCUCUUUCAAUUUCAAAAACAAAUAAUUUUGUCGCUAUCAAAAUAAUCAAAGCAAUUUAAUUAUUCUCAAUUUUUAAAGUGAGUAAUUAAGGACGAAAUUAGAAAAUUUUUGAGGGGAUCAAAAUUAAAUUAUAUAUUUUUAUGAUAGUAAAAAUUUAAAUUUAUCAUUUUAAUAGUCUAUAUCUUUAUAAUUUUUAAAUAAUUAAAUCAAAUUUUUAUCAUUUUUAGAGGGAUCAAAGUAUAAUUUACCAUUAUAAAUUUAAAAUUUUAAAGGACCUAAAUGAAAAUUUUUCAUUUUAAAGGAGCCAGGGCACCUACCAACUUCACAUGGAUUCACCACCGUGAGGAACUAAGAACAAUUAAUUAAAGCAUUAAUGUUUCCCCAAUCAACUGUAUAUGUUUUUUAUUGGUAUAAUAAUAUGCAAACAUCAAAGGCUAAAUUUAUUAUUAUACUAAUUAUAAUCAUGUACAAAUGACGGAAAAUAUUAACGCCAUAAUUAAUUAUCCUUAAUUGUUUACUUUUGAGAUUGACAGGAAUCAAAUCCAUCUAACUUUUUUUUAAUAAAUUUACUAAAUUUCAAAAUUAAAAAGAAUUGGAGGAGUUUUUUACCAAUAAUAAUAUAUACUAUAUUUAAGUGUUGAUCAAAUUUAUGUCACCAAUCAAUCAAAUACAAAUUCAACUGAAAAAAAUAAAAAAUUGAUUUUUUUACAAAAUAACAAAUAUAAUAAUAUUUUUUUAUCUUUUCACGUAAAUCAAUAAAAAUAAACUUAAACCUAAAAUGCCAUAAUUUUCAAAACUCAACUUCACUAUAUGAGACAAAACUUCAAUUGUUUUUUUACAUACAAAAAGUUCACACACAUAACAAGUGUGGAGUAAAAUAUUUUUAAUUAUGCAAAUUUUAAUAUAUUAUCGUUUGGUGACUUUUUCACUUUUCAUGAGCAAUAAAUUUAGACUUUAUGUUGGUUCAGUUUCUCCAGCCCGCCAGUAUUCGGUGGCUUUAACACUUUUUAACUUAGAAUAGGGGGAAGGUGAUGGGAAGUAUACUAAAUAAUAUUUUGUUGGUGAUUAAAAUAAUUUCAGUUCCUCUUUAUUUUCUUAUUGAAAAUUGUUAGAAAUUAAAGUAUGGAUAGAAAAGUUUAUUUUUUUUAAAGGAAAUAAAAAAAAUCAAAUAAUAUUUUAAUACGAUUUAAAAAUAAUUUAACGAAUGCUAAAUCAUUGUAGGACAGAAUGAUUUUUCUUUAUUGGGCAAAUGGUAAUAUGACUUUAUUGUUUGCUUUUAGUUUUUGUAAUAAUGAAAAAGAAAUGGUAGGAGAAGGGUAUUAAAGACAAUGAACAAUGAAAUGCAUUAAGAGUAAGCAAAGAAUUUAUGACAUUCGUUAACAUUCAUACUAGAAUUGAUUACAAGACAUAAAGCACCUCUUUUUAACGAUGUUUUAUGAUGUGUUUAGAAACUUAAUGGAAAGAUCUAUGCAUGUUACUCGUCCCCAUCAUGCUUGAUGAUGAUGACCAUAAAGUUACAAAACUACCCCUUCUUUUUACGUGGUCCCCCCCAUUUUAAGCCCACAUCAAGUGUCUCAACGCAAAAGAAAACGACAUCAAUCAAAGGGAGCGGCUUGGCCCUUAUAAGGGACCCACGCGUCACGUUUUGCAGCGCGGGCUCGAAAGAGAUAUAUGAGGGUCCCCCUUUUCCCCGCGUUCCCGCGUAUGCGGUUGCACAGCACACGCUACCGCAUGAUCGCCUUUAUUAAUUUAUUUACUUGGUAUCGGAUUACCUCGCAUCAACACCAAUCGCUUCCACCAAUUAGGACAUUUGCCGCUGGCCGUCGACUAGUAAUUUGUCUAAACCGCGGUUGCUUGUAGAAACUUCGAAUUUCAAAAACAAAACAUAUACGCACAUUUUUUAGAUUGUUUGAGCCCAUCGUUUGCCCAAAUCCCCCCCCCCAAAGGGUCUUCUUUCGUAUUAGUUUUAUAUUACUCACUCGUAAUUGUUUUUGUUAAUUUAAUUUUUUAUAAAUAAUUAGAUAAUGGUGACAGUUUUUAAAAUUGACACAAUAAUAAUUUUGACUCUCAACAUUUAUAUAUUGUAUCAAUUUAAUAUUGAUUCUAAAAAUUUCAACUCUCAUUAUUUACGCAUUGUAUAAUUUAAAUAAUUAAAACAAAUAAAAUUAAAUAAUUAAGAGACCUUUGUAAAUUUUCAUGAUUAAAUAACCUAAAGAAAUUAAUUAACAAUGACUAUUUUAUAAUUUUUUUAUAACUAGUUCACUACUAACAUGAUUUAUUUUGUUUAUUAUAUAAGACAAUUAGUAACUUUUAGCAAUCUUUAUCUCAAAUAUAUAGUUUUUUUUUUCGUAACUAUAUAGUCUUCUAAUUAUCUGGCCGGCUUCAUAAACAUCUACCGGGAAAACAUGAUAACUUAAGGGGAAAAAGAAUUCUGGAUUUUACACAUUUUGUUUUUAACAAUUGUAUAUCACAAUAAUGUUUAAAAGACAUAAAAAGUUUCUCUUCUUCUUUCGGUUUUAUGUGUUAUUUCACAAACUAUGGGUAUAUAAUAACUCAAAACUUAUAUAUAAAAAGCAAACCAUAAAAGUUAUUUACAGUUUCAAUUGAAUAUUUAAGUAUAAAUCAUGUUUUUAAAUUGUCUUUUCGAAUUAUGUAGAAUUUUUUUAUAAUUAAAAUAUUUUUUUCGUUGUAAUUUAUAAAAAUUAAUAAUUUUAAGGUCUACAAUUAUUAUUUUCAAUAAUAUUAAUUUGGAUUUCUUUCUCUAAAAAUACAAUACAUCUUUUCAUUAUACUUAACACUACAUCCAACCUCAAAUGCUUUUUGAUUUUUUCUUUUAACUUUUUUUAAUUAGCGGCAACAGAACAUCAAAUUCAAAAAAAAAAAAAAAAAGCAUUAGAAUCAAACAUGUUUUUCUAACUUAUUAAAAGUCAGUGGGAAGUGAGAACUGAGAAGCAAUCAUUUUGGUAGGAAUAGGUAGAAUUUAAAAUACAAGUAAUACAGAAAAACAACAAAACAUAAUAAAAGAAAUAAAAUACGAAACUGCAAUAAUAGAAUUUAUAAUUCAUUUUAAAAAUAUAAAAAAACAAUAUAGAAAUUAUUAAAUACUCAAAAAAUAAAUAACGCAUCGUGUUUGCAAUUCAUUGAUGGGGUUGCCAACAUUGAAUUAUACUUAUUUGAUUCUUAUUAAAAAAAUCACCGGAGAAAAAAAGAAAAGAAAAGUCAAAUUGUAUUUGGUGACUAUAAACAAAAGCAGAAGUUCCCGAUCGUUAUCUUUCUUUCUGUUUUUUUUUCUUUUUGAAUAAUUCUUUUUGUAGUAUUGUUCUCUUUCAUUUUCGUCCGAAUUUUUUUAAAUUUUUCUUUAUUUUUAUUUAAAGGAAGAAAGAAACAGUCAAUUCCAUCUUUUUGUUCUAAAACAGUAUAAUUAUCAAAGCCAGGAGAAUAAUAACAACUUGAGCAUAUAAACGGCUGGUACAGGUUAGCAGAAGACCGUGUGGGACUCUUUAUUGACACGUAAGAUAGCGAAACCCCUAUAGACCGUUACAAAUGCCAGCCGGCAAUGCUUUACCUAUUCUUCUUAAUAAUACAACACGUGUCGUGUGAAGGCCACUUUGUUAUGUCAAGGAUUUUUACUUGGACAAUAAUGCUUUUACUUCGUGAUUAUAUUUGCAAAAAUAGUUAAUAUUAUAUUGGUGGUCGUAUCAUUGUUUUACUCGUAUUGAUAAAUAUCGAAAUUAAUUAUUUUAAUAUGUCGUUUUAGGAUUAUUGAUAUUUUAAAAAACACUUGAUAUAUGUGUUUAAAAAAAUAUUUACAAAUAUCAAAUAAUAAAAUUAAAUAUAAAAAAUAUAAUUUUGGUUAAAGUGGUAAAGAAGAAAUUAAUCAGUAUGCAUUGGUAUAGCCAGUUCUGGCCAAAAUUUGCAUCGAAAUGGAACUUAAAGUUUAUUGUUCCUAUUUACUACUGGAAAGGAGCACUCUAGCUAGUACAUGCAGUACCAAAACGAUACCAACUUCUAUAGUUGGUAUAUGACUUAUCUAUACUAAAUAUAAAAUGGUUAAUUGAGUUGGUGUCAAUAAAUUAACUUGAUAUCAAAUUAGUUGUAAAAUUAUUAAAAUAUGUUUACUUUAAUAAUUAAUGUUUUUGACUAAAAAAAGUAAUUAAUAUUAAUAUUAAAAAUGUUAGUCUUUUGAUAUAUUUAUGUAAUAUUUUAAAUAAAACAAUGAAAAAUAUUAUUUGAAAAUCACCUUAAAAACACAUUAUUUGAGGUUGAAUGUAAACCAAAAAAUUUAAAUAGAAAUCUAUAUUAUCACUUCAAAUAAUCAUUUAUUGAAAUAAGUGUAUAUAUUUAUUAAUAUAAUAUAUUUUCGUUCAACGAUAUAAUGUAUAUUACAUAAAUAGUAUUUUUCUUUCAAAAUUACGUUUUGUAGUGUACAAUUAUGACGUUAAAAAUUUAUUGUAGUGAAGUGAUAUGAGGAGUAGUCGAUGUUAAUAAAUUAUAAAAUAUUAAAAAAAUAACAAAUGUAAAUGUUGUUAAGGUGUUUCAUCUUUUUCAUGUUUCAUAUAAAAAACUUAAAUCGCAACUUGAAAUAACCACUUUAAUUAAGAAAAGGAAUAAAUAUAAAAAUUACACAUUAAAGUUUAAUGUGUAAUUUGAUAUACAAACUUUAAUUUAUGUAAUUUGUCACGUGAAAUUUUAAUUUAGAUAUACGCAUAAAAAUUUAAUUUUGAUUCAAUUGUAUUGUGCCCAAUUAUAUAAAUACAUCAAUUUAUUUUCAUAUUGAAAUUUGUGUAUGCAAUAUAUGAAUGUAAGAUACUGCUCUGCUGAUAAUGUUAUUACUAGUUUUGUAAAAAUUAAAUUAAAAUUUCAUGUAUAAAAUUACACAAAAUCAAAUUUUAUAUACAAUUAAUAUUACAAAUUGGACAAAAAUUCAUGUAUAAUUUUAAUAUUUAUGAUUAUACCAUAAAAAUAUAUUAUCUUAUUGAAAAAACUAUUAUUAUUAUUGUAAAAAUUAAGAGGAUGUGAAUUCAAUGAAUAUUGAAGGUUUUAGAUAAAAAUAGUCAUUAUAUAUAACAAAAAAAAAUCUAUCAUUUUUUUAAUUCCUUUUAAAAAUUUACAAUUUAUUUUAAUAUACUCCUUUAAAAUGAAUCUAUAUUUUUUACAUACAUUUUUUUUUCUUUUUUUCCACAUUAUGAAUGUGUGAUAAAACAUUGAAUACUCUUGAUUAUCCACAUGAUAAUUUCAUGAAAAGGACGAGUGAUUAAAGUUUUAGCGAAUCCUAAUAGUUAAAUUAACCCUAAUUACUCAUUAUCUAUACGAAAAUUGAAAUUUUUGAAAACAAAAUUGACAAGUGCAUAAGAAAACAUUAGCUGGCAAGGUGGAAUUUAACAGUGAAGCUAGAAAAUUAAACUCAACUUUGAUUAAAGCCCUUCUCUAUUUGUUUGUUUUCUAGCUCAAGGCAUGUAACGUAAAGGACAUGUUUUGCAACAACAUUAAUCUUCUUCUUCUUCUUUUUUAAUGAAUUAAUAUGCGUAAAAUUAGGUAAAAAGAAAGAAGACCUUGACUUGACAAAGUUGCAAUGAAGAAGAGAGAGAGAGAGAGAGAAGCAACUACAAAUCAACACUAAACAAAUAAAUAGUCAAAAGUCAAUAUAGAACAAAGAAAAUAGAGGGGUACUUUAGUUAAUUAAUUAAGGUUAAGAAUAUGCACGCAAAUUCCGGAGUCAAAUUCUGCUUUAAUUUAUCAUUUAUUACAUCUUUUGUUGUUAAUUUACAUUUUGUCGGUAGCAAAAUAAUUAUUUUAAAUAAAAAAAGGGGAAAAAUGAGCAAAAUAAAUAAAUAGGGAAUACAUUCUCUUUGUGGUGGGCCUAUCACACACGUGUACCAAUUAACCUAAACUUACGACAAAUUUGACAAUGAGGCUUCCUCGCAUCAGUGCCGUGAAAAUGCGGUUAAGUUGUAUUUUUUUUCCAUCAUCUAUAUAUUUAUACUGAUUUAAUUAUGAUUUUUUAUUUUUAAAGAGUAAUAAAUAUUAUUUGGUGGGUAGUAUUUUUUUUAUAUUUUCAUAUAAAUAAAUACAUAUGUAUAAUAUAAAUUGAAUUUAAAUUUUAUUCUAAUGAGUAAUGUUAUACAUGAAAUUUGAUUUUGUACGAUUUUAUAUAUAAUUUUUUAAUUUGGUUUAAUUUUUAAAAAUUAUUAACAACAUUAUUAAAUUAGCACAAUUUUAUAUUCAUAUAUUACGUACAAAAACAAUUAUAUUAAUUUAAUAUGAAAAAUGAAUGUUUGUAUUUAUUUCUUUAAAUGUGUACAAUUCAAAAAACAACUAAAGUUUUAAGUGUAUAAUUGUAUCAAAUUACAAUUUGAACCAAUAUUCAUGCAUAAAUUUAAUAUUUAUCACUUGAACUUAAGCCACAUUUGAUGUUUAUUUUAACUUUUAUAAAUUUGUUAUAUGAAUUAUUUUUAAAUCACACUAUGAGUUGAUAAGUGCCUAAUUUUUAUAUUUAUUUAUAAUAUUUCCUCUUAAAUUAUGAUAUUUAUUAUUAAUUUAGGGAAUAAUUAAAAAAUGACGAUUUGAAAUUUUAAUAAAAGUGUAAAAUUUUAGUAUUUUGAUUAUAACUUAAGUUAAAGAUAUUUACAAUCGAAGUCCAACAACGUUAGUCAUCUAGUUUUAUUAAAUUUUAUAAUUUUGUUGUUAUUUGAGUAAAUAUUAUUUCAAUAAAAAAAUCCUAAAUAUCUCUUAUUAAGUUUGGUUAAUUUUAUUGGAUUAUGACAUUAUUUAUGAAAAUAAAUUAGGUUUAUUAAUUGGAAAACAGAAAUCGAAAGUAUUGAUUACCCAAUCAUAAGGCAGACAUAAGACAGCGAGCCUCCCAUGUGGUCCCGUUGAAACCAAUAACUUCAUCCCAAAAUCCCCAUCACCAUCUCUUUGCUUUCUCUCAUCUUAUGGAUAACAACUUGGUAACCAUUGGAUCUACAUAAUUGCCCCCUUCCCUCCUUUUUAUGUAAUAAUCAAACUGAUAUUAGAUACAAAUGUUGUCACUGACCGUUGGACGAUUUCAAAUAUUAUCAACGUUUUCCAAACAUAAUCUGAGUAGAUUAAAUAAAAUUAUUAAACCCUAUGUUUUAGUCCUUUGUAUUUAUGUACCAAUUAUUGUAUGGCUUUAUUUUUUAAAUUAGAGAAAACAAAAGUAAAUGUAAUUUGAAAGUAUUGUAUUAAAAAUCGAAUUGUAUUUUGUCCUUGUAAGUUAAAAAGGGUAAAUUAGUUUUUGUAUAUUAGAUUGAAAAUCAAAUUAAUUUUUUCUGUUAAAAUUUUUUCCAUUUGUAUCGUUAAAAAUUGGUGUGAUUAAUGAAAUAAUUAGAUAGUGACAUAUGAUGUGCACCUCAUUCUGACAUACACGGAUCAGUUUUUAACAGCAAAAAUAGAUGAAAAUUUUAACAAAAAAAUCAGUUUUCUCUUAAAUCUAAUGUAUAGGGGUUAAUUUGUCCAUUUUUUUGAAUAGGGAAAUAAAAUGCAAUCUGAUUCAUAGUAUAGGAGACUUCAUUAUAUUGUUACUGAGGAGGAGGCAAAGACUACCUGAUCAUUGGUCGGGCUACCUAUCUAGGCUUAAAAGCCUAUCCAAAAAGUAGUAGGGUUUGGCCAAAAAUAUAGAGUCGAAAAAUGAGCUUGGACAAAAAUAAGACUUGUUUUCUAAAUGGGUCGAGUAUCGGUAAGAUUUUUUACCCUGACCCAAAUUUGCCUAAAAUUUUCACUAUUGUUUACCGUUGUUUUGCUGACAUUUUGCUAUUAUUUUGCUAUUAUAUGGUUGUUAUUGUUUGAUAUUGUAUAACUAUUGUUUUAUUAUUAGUUUUGCUACUAUUUUAGAGACGUUUGAUUGCUAAAUUGUAACUAUUUUAGUGCUAUAUAAGUAUAAAAUUUUUUUGAUGUAUUUUCGAUUUGCUAGGAAUAUUUAUUUUAAUAUUUUUAAUAUAUUUGAUGUAUUAUAUAUUUUAAAUUUGUUUUUAUAUAAAAAAAUUAAUAUGAACAUACCAUAUCCAAAUCUAGAAAAUAAAUCUAAAAUUUUACAUUGAUUCAAUUCGGCUCAACCUACUACCAGGUCUAACAAAGACCCAUCUAAUUUAGGUGAUUGGUGGAUGAUAUAACCAGUGGUUGUAUUGAUUUUGAUACUAUCAAUGAAUCAACCAUAAAAUAUUUUGAAGUCCCUACAACGAAAAUAUCAUCAGAUCUCACAGCAUAUAUGUGACCAUCCAUGAAUCAAAAUAUUAUCUCACCAAAACUCUGUUCGGAUGGUAGGAAGAUAAGGGCUCCAAUCUUUCAAUAUCACCCCCCCCCCCCAAAAAAAAAAAAAGAUAUAACAUCAAUGCACUUAAACAGUAUUUACAGUGCUUGCUCGAUAUGUUAUUUUCACCACACUAAUAUUUUCUUAAAGUUUUUAUGUUCAUAAUGUAGGUUUAACUUGCUAAACUUUGAUGGCAUUGGCUAAAUUUCACCCAAAAUACAACGUUGAACAAUAUAUAUAUAAUGGGUUAUAUUCGAAAAGAUGCUAUUAAUAUUUAUGAAUGACAAUUGGAAUAGAAGCAUGAAUUUUGAGAGGGAAGAAAAUAAGUUUCGCAGAAACUGAAAACUGUUUGUUUUUCCCUAUAUUUAUCUGUAAAGCUGUCGGCAAGUGAGAACAAAAAGUCCUCUACCAUUCAAGGUUCAACCUAACCAUUACAAAAAGUUAGAUUCGCAGUUAAACCAGCACCUGCAAACUUCGCAAUCAUAACCCGCAAUGUUUUUAAAUGUAUUAAUAGUCCUCAAUCAAGUCACUGGUGUAAUAACACAAGAUUUGUCUUGAAACAACAUGAAAAAAGAUGUUAAAAAAUUCUUGUGAUUGAAAUAUUUUAUCUUAUACACUUAUUUUCGGUCAUUGUUUCGUUCUUUAUUCAAAUCAUGCUUAACAAAGAGAAUAUCAAAUGAUUAGUCAUGAUUGGCAACUUUUUUUUUUUUUGAAGAUAAUUGCUUCACUAAAAACAGUUGUUUAUCACAAUAUUGUCAAAAGAAAAGGGAAUUAAGGAACAUGCAUGUACGUAUUUAUCACAACCUACACUCAUGAAUAACAUAUAAAUAAAGAACAACAAACAUGAAAGGAAAAGGCUCGAACCAAACCUAAAUGUGAAGUCAAUUUGUAAGAUGUUAAUAGAAAGCUACAUGAUAAUAAGCUGACACAGUGGAUAUAGGUCCCACCUAGAAGAGGGCACAGGGCUCUCAUGGCACCAGUUAAGAAUUUUCAGGUCGAGCAUGCUGUAAAGUAGGUCAGCUUUCUUUAUAUAUAUACACAUAUAUAUAUAUGUGUGUGUGUUAAGUUUUCAUAUGGACGUUGAUCAGAAUUGGGUCACCAGAUCAUGGCUCCACUGUCCACUACAAAGGGACCAAUUAUCUAAAUAUCAAAAUAUAGUAUUUAGAUUAGCUAUGAACCAUAAGUUCAACCCAUCUACCAACCACAAAUAUAAUAUCGAUUUUUAGGUGACAUCGGUCGGUUGUAACGCAUGAUUCAACAUGUGAAAACAUUAGUAACUUGGAAUUCCUGUGAUUCAAGUGAAGCAGCUAAAUUAUGGGCUUGAGGCAAUUAAAUUUUAGAAAGUUUUAGAAUACUUUUUUUUUGUUGGUGGCCUAUGAAAAUUAGUGCAUGACAACUGGAAUAUUCCGUUGGAUUAGUUGGUGAUGUGGCAGAUACAAGUCAUUGCCAUAUCAGCUUUAAAAGUUUUUUUUAUAUAAUUUAUAUUUGGAAGUAGGAGGCUGACAGGGUGUGUAGUUUCUUCUCGAGUCGUUUAAUCAAAACUCGAAACCAAACAAGUUUCCUAACCCAAUUCUCAAAAUGGAAUAAAUAAAUUUCAUACAGAUAGAUAGAUACUAGAGGGGUUUUCUUUUGUGUCUAUCUUUUUAUAAACCUUGUGAAAUGGUCCAAAUUGCAGGGUUUUCAGGAUGUGUCAUGAAAGUGUAGCUCCCUGCCAUGUUCUUUGUGUUACUAUUUUGGCCAUUGACAACUUGAUCAUGAUUGAUGGGUGUUUAACAACAAUAGGGCUUUAGCAUCUUUUUAUUUAUUUUUGCAUGAAUGGCUUAAUUAACAUAAUUUGGUGUCGAUACAUUUGCUCGGACCACGCUUGAAUGCUUAACUCGGAGUAAAAAAAAAUUAAUGGAAAAUAAUCUACUGUUUUUGACUUACCUCAUGUGUUUUAUUUGUGGGGCAUGGCUAACUGAUAUGUAGAUGAACCUUUUGGGCCUUAACGCUAAUAUGGGUUUCAAUUGAAUGGUAGUCAUCACAUCUUGGGCCUGGCAAUAUUGCCUCAACAUAAACGUGCUUAGUGAACUUUAUGGAGACUAAUCUCUUACAAUUUCAAUGAAAUCUGUGACAUAUAUGGAUUGUUAUACCCCUAGUAAGAUAGGACACAUAGUAAGUUCGAGUACGGUUUGUAAUUUACUUUCAUAAGUUUAGGGAUUUUUUAUCGGAUUAGUAUGUCAGCUGUCCAUGGUGUAUCUCUUGUUAGAGUCAUUUAAAUUUAAUUAUUUAGUACAAUCUUAAAAAAUAAAAGUAUCAGAGUAAAACAACUUAUGACACUAAUAAGACAAUAUAAUUCACACCAUGGCGACAAUUAACCUGUAAUGACAUCCACAUCGACAUCUAAUUAGUUUUUACAACCAUGUAGAUCUUUGUGCUAUAUAUUGCAUAGUACUAUAAGAUAAGGGGUAAUCCACUAUAUAAGCCUGGAUGCAUUAGAGUAUGAGGAUCUCUCAUUCCUCCAUCAUUUCCUUCUACUUCUCCUAAUUCUCUCACACAGCAUCCUUGCUCCUUCCCUUCAUCUUCUCUCCGCCAAACUAAGACAAAUCGAUACUCACCUCCAUCACUUUCUCUUUUUCAUUGGUAACUUGUAUCAUCAGAGUUUUCAAACAGAAACAUUAGUCGUCCAUCAUAUUUGAUAAUCACUAAAACCAGCCUUCAUAGGAAAUAAUAUUUGAUUUUACAAGCUCCGUAGUAAGUAGAAAAGUUUUUUCAACUCUUGGCUUUCUAAGGUAAUUAAUAACCAUGUUAAUUAAUUACAUCACUAAUUUCUGAUCAGCUUCGAUCUUUUCCAAGGAUUUGUCUGAAUUUAGUUCAAGAUAUCAUCAUUUUUUCCCCUCAUCUUCUUAAGCAGUAAUAAAUGAUACUAAACACUACACAAAUUGAGACAAUUUAUACUUAGACACUGAAAAUUAUGUUCUUGUCCCUUUUAAGCGGUUCAACAUUCAAUAUUGUGUUGCGUUCUCCUAUUGAUGUCCUCCAACGCAGACCCAAGUUUUUUUACAACCACACCUGAUGAAUUCCUCACUUGUCUGGAUUUGUAAAGAGCUUCCAUUUUGACAUGACAGUCAUAUCCUUCGUCCUCCCUCUUGCAUGGUUCAGUGUUCCUUUAUCAAAUUCUCCAUUUCCACAUAUUGCUGCUAGUAAAUAUAUCUUCAGCUCAGAGUGUUCUCCUCGAGUGAGUGAGUUAGGAAUUAAUAAAUAAAUAUAUAUGCACAUGUAUGUCUUCUUAGUUUCCUGAUCUUCUGAUAUUAAUAGCUAUUCUUAUUCUAGCUGUUCAAACACCAUGGCUUGCACGCGAGGUGAUGGGCAAAUUGUUAUCUUAUCCUCAACAAUUUAUAAUUCCAUGUAAGUUUAUCCAUAAAAUUCUUUCAUAAUAAACGUAAUUGGACAUACUAAGAUUCGAUCAUAUUCUUAUUAGAUCCUAUAGAAAAUUUAUUUCAUCUCAUUUCAUUUAAUUAUUUUUUUAAAAUUUAAAAAUAUUUCAAUUUUAACGAAAUAGAAAUCCUUCUAUUUCCAAAAAUAUAUUAUUACAAAAUAUAUUAUUAAUACUAUAUAUUCAUAUAAUAUUCAUAAAUAGCAUUUUAAAAAUAAUAUAUCUUAAUCUAAUCAUAUAACAAAUUUAAUAUAUCUAAUUACAUUUAUUAAUUUAACCACCAUCGACGGUGACAGAUGAAACCUUUGAUAAAUUCUCUCAAAUUGAAAAGUCCCAUUAUUUUAAUGGCAUAAUAAUAUCGUUAACUAUGAUUAUUUAAAAAAGGAAAACGAAAAACUGGGUAAUGUUUGGGCUUGGUACAGGCACAUGAGCUUCAUCCUCCAAUUCAAAAUUACGAUAAAAUUACAAGCUGAAGAGAAGGGUGAUACAAAAUCGAUAACAUUUAUCCAACAUAUGAAGGAUUAUCUCAUGGACAUCCUACCCUUCUAUAUAAUCUAACAACAUAGAUAACCACAUUAGCACCUUUUAGUUACAUAUAAUAUAUAUUAAAUACUAACCAGUAUCUUUUAAACAACAUUUUGGUCGUUUAAGGAUUCUUCCAUCGUCGUUUUGCUAGAAUGAAGUGAAAACCGACAAUUUUGCACUGCAUCUUCAAUAGACAAGUAGAAAGAUUCUUUUCCAAUGGCGUCUGUGAAUUUCGCUAACGUCAUUUUCUCCAGAACUUCAAUCCUAGGGUUCACAAUGCUUAACUGCAAUAACCACACACAGAUUUCCUUUUAAUUUUCUUUCAUACGUCUAAAAACCAUUACGUAAGCAUGUUUUAAGUUUUUUACCUUGAUACCCUUCGAGUCCAGAAUUCUACGUAACUCAAGAAAUGUUUCAAUGCCUGUCAUGUCAAUGGAUGAAACUCCUGCAAAAAAAACAAAAUGGUUACUGAUAAAAACAUGGAUAUGAUUGAUGGUUACUGAUAUCUGAUACCUAGAUUUUGUUUUUACAUAUAUUAUUAAUUAUUUUGGUCGUGAGGAAAAACAUGAUUAUUAAUUACCUGACAGAUCUAAUAAAAGAUGCUCAAUGAUAUCAGUUUUAGAAUCUGAAACACCCUGUUCCUCCUUUAUGUACCUAAGAACCCUGUUCAAAAAAGAAAUUUACCAUUUUUUUUUCUGGGUUUUGAUGGAAUUUAUCAUUUUUUUUCAAUGAAGAUAAAUAAAUGUGAACCUUUCUCUUAUGUAGGUGGAGUUUGCAAAAUAAAUAGGAGAACCAAGUUGAAGAACUAGGGCUCCUUGUAUGGGAGUUGAGCCAGGGUACUGCUCUGCGUCACGAUAUAAACUUGAGUUUGGGAUUUUGCCAAGUUUGCAGGCUGCUGGCCUUGCCACGUACAAUAAUGCUCUGAGUAAAGCAAGUCCUACCUGAAAAUAAAAUAAUACAAUACUAUUUCAGACACAGUUAAAAGAACAUGACUGUAUAUAUUUUUUUGGAGGGAAUUUUUUACCGAAAGCAUGAGGCCGACAUCCAUACUGAUGAAGCUGACACCAAGGAAAGCAGCCAUGCAGAUGACGAAGUCGAAUUUAUCGACUUUAAAGAGGUGAAUCAUUUCAUCAUAAUUGAUUAAUCCAAGCAUUGCAGACAUGAUAAUGGCGGAUAAAGCAACCAGAGGUGUGUAUCUGAAGAGAGGAGCUAAGAAAAGGAGUGUUAACAUCAUGCAAAAUCCCAUUACGACAUUGGACAUUGCUGUCCUACACCCAGCAUUGAAAUUCACUGCCGUUUUUGAAAAUGGUCCUGCAAAUUCAAAUAUUAAAAAGAAUAUAUCAGAAUAUUCUUCAUAAAUAGUAGCAUGAAGAAGUAUAUAUAUAUACCUGUUGUCAAGUAGCAUGAAGUGAAAGAUCCGAUAAUAUUCAUGAAACCAAAAGCUAUCAUUUCCUUGUUCCCAUCAGUCUGUUCACUUUUCAUGAUGGCAAAGCUUCGUCCUAUUGCUAUCCCUUCCUGGAAGUUUCAUUUUCAUUAUAUGAUUUUCACACCUAUAUAUAUAUAAAAGAAAAAUGAUAACAAAAGGGUUGGGAUUCUUACAGCCAUUGCAAUAAGUCCUGUGAUAAGACCAGCACGCACAGUUACAGGAAGAUAUUGGGGAUCGAAGUUCAAAUAUUGAAUUGAGGGGGGAUUUAAUCCCUUCUUCAACUCACCAACCUGAAACCCCAAACAUAAAUGAUUACCCUAUAAUUAGAAAGAUCAAACCGUGGUUAACAAAAUAAAACUAAUUAUUACAAAUGAGCUUACGAUUUGGAUUCCAUGUUUCUCUGCAUGGGCAAAGAAUGCAAAAAGACAACCAACCACAACAACGACCAUGGGAGCAAUAGCUGACACCCAGAAUAGUUUUGGCCUUUUUUGUCUCUGAAAAUACAUGUCAACAUCUUUAGCAAUAGGCAGAGGGAGCUAAAAGAAGAAAGAAAGUAAGGAAGGAGGGUAGUUUUUGUUUUUAAAUCAAUAUGGAUUAUUAUUGAUGUAAAGGAGAUUAUUAGCUUAAAUAAUUAUUUGUUUUGUGAAUUCAUUUGGAACGCAUUUAAAAUAAAUAAAUAAUUUAUUAGGGAAUGGAUAAGAUAAUAAGAUUACGAACCGAUAUUCUUUCUUCAGAUUAUGAUAUUACGCAUUUUAAUAGGAAAUACGGUUGGCAUGAAGGUUACCGAUUUCCUAUUAAUGGUUUAUGAUAUAGCAUUAAUGAUGUGAUUAUCUAAGAGAUUUUAUCAGUAUAUUUUUCCAUAUUAGUGAGAUACAAAAAAGGAAACAACUAUAUCGAAUAAUUUUCCUUACCAGGUAUCGAGUGAAUUGGAGGAAAGCAAGGAAGAUAAUACCAACAACAGCACUUUCCCACCUCCACUGCUCAUUUAUCAGUUUAUAAAAUCAGAAUUUUAAGCAGUAAAUAAUGCUGUAAUUAGUUGCUGAGUAAGUUAAUGUUUUCCCAGAUCACAGACCUCGUUCCUACGGCGGAAAACUGCACCAAGGACCGAAACCACAUCAGUAUGAGUAGUGAAAUGUACUAAACCAAAUAUUCCUUUCAAUUGUUGUAGGCAGAUGAUUAUCGCAGUCCCUCCCAUGAAACCAGUGAUGGUAGAAUGUGAUAAGAAAUCAACCAAAAUUCCCAGCCUGAAACAACCCCAUGAAAAAAGGUUAAAAAUGGAGAAGAAAUUAAAAAUAAAUCAAAUCAAAUACUACUGUUUAUGAUCAUCAUUUAACCUUAAGAAACCCAAAGCAGUCUGGAAAAUUCCAGUGAAGAAAGUGGCAGUGAAAAUUAAGUGCAGAUACAAUGUGGGAUCGUCUUGGGGUGAUGCUUUAGCUCCAACGGUUUCUGAUAGAAGCAAUGAACAUGCCGCCACUGUUCCUACAGCAAGGUGUUUUGAACUCCCGAAAAUGGCGUAAACAAAAGGCGGUAUAAAGCUUGAAUCUGCACCAUUAAUAACCAAUAAACCAAGCUUUUUUUCUAAUGAAACUGAGAAAGAAAAUAGUAGUAAUAUUUAUGCUUACAGAGGCCGUAAAUUGGAGGAAUAUUGGCGAGUUUAGCAUAGCUAAUCCCUUGAGGGAUUGCAAGACUGGUAAUGGUAAUACCAGCGAGCAAAUCAUAUCUAAACAAACGUAGAUUAUAAUUAGGCAACCAUUCAAACAAUGGGAUAAAGUAUUGGAUUGUUUUCUUGAGUUUAUUCAAAGGUUUUUCAUGUUUCAUCUCAUGGAAAGGAUCAUCGGGGAAGAAAGUUUCUUUACAAUCAGCUUUGAAAGCAGUGGCAAACCCUCUUGGGGCUGCGAAAUUCACCGCCUGCCGACUGGGAUUCGCCAUAUCUAAUCAAGAAGCAAGGGCUAAGAGAAUGUGGGAUAAGGGAAAAAGAGAAAUGGGGUGGUUGCCUUUAUAUACAAGUAAUCUAAGCUUCCAAACAAAAUUGUGGCAACCUAGUGGAGAUCAGCGACGCAAAUUUGACAAAAUAAAAAGCUUUGGAUAAAAGACUUUAUUGAGGGGACGUCUUUCGAGUAUAGUCAUCUUAUAUGAAUUAAACUUUCAAAGCUGAUAACACUCCUCUCUCUCUUUGGUUAUAGUUUAUCUGAUUACUACUUUCCUUAAUUACAAGUUUUUAUCUUUAAUUUAGAUUCUUUAUCCUAUUUAAUUGGCUAAUUUGUUAAAAUAUAAACAACUUAUUUGGAAAAUUUUACUCCACAAACUAAACAGAGGUGGAAUGCGUGAUAAUUAAUUUUUUUUUAUUUACUAGUGUAUUAAAACCAAACUCUUUAUUUUAUUAAUAUAUUAUCCAAUAUUACUAUAAUAAUAUAGAAUUUAAGAUAAAUAAUGUCAUGUUAAUAAGAUAUACAUGUGGCAUGCCACGAAGGUUGCUAUGCCAACAUCAUUAAAAGAAUAUUUUAGCCUGUAUUUUCGUUUAAGUAAUGUUUGCAAAGUCACUUAGUAAUUGCUUUUAUUUACUUAAGGAUGCCAUGUUUGGAUAUCUAUCUUAAUUGAUGGGUCCCAUUGAAUUACACUUUCUAAUUCUUAGGAGGUGAGCAUUGAAAUAAUUACGAAAUAAUAAAAAUAAUAAAUAAAUAAAUAAAUUAGAAUAACCCAAUUACCGAAUAAACAAAUUCAAACUUGGAAAGGAUCUUUCAAAUUCUCAAAGAACGAGGGAUAAAGGGAUUGGUCGAGAAAGUUCUCUUGUUCUUUUUAUAAGAUCGUGUGAAUAGAUCCGUAAAUGUUUGAUAAAAAAAAAUCUCUUUUGAGAACAAUAAAAAAGGGAAAAUGUUCAAUUAGAACAUGAAAACAUGUAAUUACACCCAAAUUUAUGUAACACCCCUUACCCGAGACCGUUUCCGGAGUCGAGCACGAGGCAUUACUUAGCUUAUCUUACCAAUUCGGAGCAUAAAAACUAGGUUUGAAAAUUUAUUUUAUUAUUCGCAGUAAAUCUGUCCAAUCGCGCAGCAGUUACUAAAUUAAUUAUAAAUUGAGCUACAGAACUCGAAAUUUAAUUCCGUAAAUUUUCCCUGAAACUAGACUCAUAUAUCUACUCACCAUAAAAUUUUUAGAAUUUUUGGUUCAGAAAAUUAGUACAGUUUAUUAGUUAAAGUCUCCCCUGUUUCACCACCUGACUGCCCUGACCUCUAGUCACUAAAAAUAAGUUUUCUCACUGUAGGAUUUUCAUAUGAAGUUCUUACUUGUUUCUACAGAAAAUAGACUCAUUAAGAAAUCUAAGCAUGUAAAUUUCAACCCAUAACCAUUUUUUUACAAUUUGUAAUUAUUUUCUAAACUCAGAACAGGGGACUCCAAAAACAGUUCUGACCCUAUCUUACUAAAAUUCACAUAUCUUAAAAUAUAAAUUUCCUUUUUCUACACCGUUAUUUUUCCAUGAAAAUAGACUCAACAAGCUUUAAUUCCAUAUAUCAUUCACCCUCUAAUUCAUUUUAUACUAUCUUGGGUGAUUUUUCAAAUUCACGUCACUGUGCUGCCUGAAUUCUGUUUCUUUGCAAAAUUUUAUCCUUUCAUGAUUUCCAUGCAUAAUUUAUCACCUAAUCUUUCAUAACAACAAACACCUUCAUCCUUAAUCAUUUUAAUAACCAUACAUCAUCAAAUACUUACACAUCACUCAUUAGCAAAAUCAUCAUUACAAACAUACAAAAUAACUAAAUCCCUAUACAUGCCAUAACUCAAACGUGUUUUGAUAUAAAAUACCGAGCAGUUGUAGUUGAUAGUGUGGACGAUCUCCGACUUCUUUAGGAUCCUUAAAGUAGCUUUGCAAUACUAUAAGAGAAAGAGAAAUAAAAGAAGUAAGCAUAAAGCUUAGUAAGUUUACUAGCAAAUAAAUAACAAUAUUUAACUUAAAUAAUUAAACUCAAUGUCUAUAUCUCUAGUUUACUCUUUAGUUAAUCUCAUACUAGUUCUCUUACUUGUUUACUUAGAAUACUUGUGUGCAUAACUUACUCAAUCCUUGCUGCAUCGUUGAACAUCAAUUGAUAGUAUAAUAAGUUCUUAAGUCUUACAACUUACCUGAGCUUGCCAUUUAUGCUUUAAACUGAACUUUCAAGAACAUGAUUCGUUUACAAGCCCGUUGAGCUACAUUGGAAUAAUAAGGAUACUCGGGUCUCUUCUGAUAAUAACAUGCCAAAGCCAUGUCCCAGACAUGGUCUUACAUGGGAUGUUCUCGUAAUGGUGCCCAUGCCAUGUCCCAGACAUGGUCUUAUAGGGGACCUCUCAUCUCGGUGCCAACGCCAUGUCCCAGACAUGGUCUUACAUGGGACCUCUCGUCUCGGUGCCCAUGCCAUGUCCCAGACAUGGUCUUACAGGGGACCUCUCAUGAUCUUAAGGAUGCCAAUGCCAUGUCCCAGACAUGGUCUUACAUGGGAUCUCUUUACCCAAAUGUCAUGACAUUCGUAUCCAGUACCAUCCUUAUGUAUCAACGGGACUUUUAAAUUUUAAUUCUCUAUCAUUUCAUGCUUGGAUCAUCAUCAAAUAAAUUCAUAAAAUAAAUUCAUAAUUGCUGGAAAUUAACAGCAUUAAUAAUAAAUAUUGAAAUAUUGCAUUUAUUUACCGUAAACUUACUCGGUACCAAUUAUAGCCAAAUUCACCAACUUAGUCUUCAACUUUAUUCUUCCCUUUGUCUAACCUCGAGUUUCGUACUUCUUGAUCUAAAAUAGUAAAUUUAACUUAUUUAAUAAUCACAUUCAUCAAAACAGCCCUCGACUCUAACUUUUUCAAAAUUAUAAUUUUGCCCCUAAACUUUUACAUAAUUACAUUUUGCCCCAAGGCUCGGAAAUUAAACUUCAUCUCUUAUUCUUAUGUUUUAUGACAUUCUGAACAUCUUUCCCUUCUAUGGCAACAUCAAAUUCCCACUCUAACAUGUACUUAUGAACAUUAGGUAUUUUUACCGAUUAUGUCGUUUUACUCGUUUUCACUUAAAAUCGCUUAGCAAAAGUUGUUUAACAUAAUUUCUAGCUUCAUAUUCUAUCAUAAAACAUCAAAAUAAACACUUUUCACCUAUGGGUAUUUUUCCAAAUAUAAACCCUAGGUUAAAUUAUUGCUAGAAUAAGCUAAAUUAAGCUACCGGGAUCUCAAAAACGUAAAGAACAUUAAAAACGGGGCUUGGGAUCACUUACUAUGGAACUUGGAAGCUUGAAAACCCUAACUAUGGCUUCCCCCUUGCUGAUUUCGUUCAUAUGAAGAAGAUGAUGAUUUUUGCCAUCUUUUUCCCUUUUAAUUCAUUUUAAUUACUAGAUUACCAAAUUGCCCCUAACUUAAAAAUUUUCUAUUUCACUUAUCUCAUGUCCAUUUUUGUCUACCAAGUUACCAAUGGUAUAAUUAUCAUAUAAAGACCUCCAAUUUAAAGUUUCAUAACAAUUGGACACCUCUAACAUGUAGAACUCAACUUUUGCACUUUUUACAAUUUAGUCCUUUUGACUAAAUUGAGUGCCCAAACGUCGAAAUUUUCGAACGAAAUUUUCAAAAAAUCAUUUUGUGAAAUUGUAAACCAUAAAAAUAUAAGAAAAAUAAAAUUUUUCUCAUCGGAUUUGUGGUUCCGAAACCACUGUUCCGAUAACCUCAAAUUUGGGCCAUUACAACUCUCCCCCCCUUUUUAGGAUUUUCGUCCUCGAAAAUCUUACCAGUAAAGAGAUUCGGGUAUUGCUUCCUCAUUGUCUCUUCCGGUUCCCAUGUUGCUUCCUCAAUCCCGUGCUUUUGCCAUAGCACUUUCACCAGAUUUACCUUUUUGUUUCUAAGCUCCUUUGUUUCUCGUGCUAAUACUUUAACCGGUUCUUCAUUAUAAGUCAUAUCCGGCUGAAUUUCUACUUCUGUUGGAGUAAUAACAUGUGAAGGAUUUGAUCGAUACCGUCGUAGCAUAGAUACAUGAAAUACAUUAUGAAUUUUGUCGAGUUCCGGUGGUAAAGUCAAUCGGUAAGCAACUGGUCCAAUUCUUUCUAUAAUCUCAUAUGGUCCGAUAAAUCUUGGACUCAAUUUACCCUUUCGACCGAACCGGAGAACUUUCUUCCAAGGAGACACUUUUAAGAAUACUUUAUCACCCACCUGAAAUUCAAUCUCCCUUCGUUUAAGAUCGGCGUAUGACUUUUGACGAUCGGAAGCUGCUUUUAAACUAUCCCGAAUCAGUCUUACUUUUUCUUCUGUUUCCCGAAUCAAAUCAACCCCGUGUAUCUUCUUUUCACUGAGCUCUGUCCAAUAUAAUGGUGUUCUACAUUUUCUACCAUACAAAGCUUCAUACGGAGCCAUUUUAAUACUGGACUGAUAACUGUUAUUAUAAGCAAAUUCAAUCAAAGGUAGAUACCUUUCCCAAUUACCUUGAAACUCUAAUGCACAACAUCGGAGCAUAUCUUCCAAUACCUGAAUUACACGCUCAGAUUGGCCAUCUGUCUGAGGAUGAAAUGCAGUACUGAAAUACAACUGAGUACCCAAAGCUUCUUGCAAUUUGUUCCAGAAACGAGACGUAAAUCGGGGAUCUCUGUCUGAUAUAAUGGAGACAGGCACUCCAUGUAGUCUAACAAUCUCAGAUAUAUACAAUCCAGCCAAUUUAUCUAAAGAAUAAUCCAUACAUACUGGGAUAAAGUGCGCGGACUUUGUCAAUCGGUCGACAAUUACCCAAAUGGCAUCUUUCUUCCUCGGAGAUAACGGUAACCCAGAUACAAAAUCCAUAGUGAUUCUUUCCCAUUUCCAUUCCGGUAUAGUGAUUGGCUGAAGCAACCCCGAAGGUACCUGAUGUUCAGCCUUAACCUGCUGACAUACUAAACAUCUUGAUACAAACUCAGAGAUAUCACGUUUCAUACCCGGCCACCAAUACAUCUUUUUCAAGUCAUUAUACAUUUUAUUACCUCCCGGAUGUACGGACAUAAUACCACUGUGUGCUUCGUGUAAAAUCUUCUGUACAAGUUCUGAAUUCUUCGGUACACAUACUCUGCCUCUGAAUAAUAAACAACCAUCAGUUCCAAUCUGAAAUUCUGAAUCAUUACCUGACUCACAAUGCACCCGUUUAGCCUGUAAUUUCUCAUCAUUCCUCUGAGCUUCACAUAUUUGUUGACGAAAUGUCGAUUUAGCUCUCAAUUCAGCUAUGAUUGAACCAUCAUUAGACAGUGACAACCGGGUAUUCAUAGCUCGUAAAGCAAAUAGAGAUUUUCGGCUCAAAGCAUCAGCUACCACGUGAGCCUUACCCGGAUGGUAAUCAAUAAUCAAAUCAUAAUCAUUUAUCAAUUCAAGCCACCUGCGUUGUCUCAAAUUCAAAUCUUUCUGUGUCAUCAAAUAUUUCAAGCUCUUGUGAUCAGUAUAAAUAUGACACUUUUCACCAUACAAAUAAUGCCGCCAUAUUUUCAAUGCAAAUACAAUAGCAGCUAACUCGAGAUCAUGUACCGGGUAGUUUCUUUCAUGUGGCUUAAGUUGUCUUGAAGCAUAGGCUAUUACUUUAUCUUCUUGCAUCAAGACACAACCCAAACCAUUUAAUGAUGCAUCACUAUAAAUAAUAAAUUCCUUACCCGAUUCAGGCUGUACCAACACAGGUGCUUUCGUUAACAACUCCUUCAAUCGGUCGAAACUUUGCUGGCAUUUUUCUGUCCAUUCAAAUUUAACAUCUUUCUGUAAUAAACAGGUCAUUGGAGAAGCUAUCAUAGAAAACCCUUGUACAAAUCUCCGAUAAUAACCAGCUAAACCCAAGAAACUUCUAACUUCAGAUACAUUUUUCGGUGGACUCCAAUUGACAAUAGCUGAAAUUUUACUCGGAUCUACCCUGAUGCCUUCUGCGGAUACAAUAUGUCCGAGAAAACCUACCUCUCGAAGCCAAAAUUCACAUUUACUGAAUUUAGCAUAAAGUUUCUUUUCACGCAGAAUUUGCAACACUAUUUUCAAAUGUUCUGCAUGCUCAGUUUCAUCCCGAGAAUAAACUAAAAUAUCAUCAAUAAAAACUACUACAAACCUAUCUAGAUACGGUCUGAAUAUCCGGUUCAUCAAAUCCAUGAAUACUGCAGGUGCAUUAGUCAACCCAAACGGCAUAACCAGAAACUCAUAAUGCCCAUACCUGGUUCUGAAAGCUGUCUUUGGCACAUCUGGCUCUUUUACCCGUAACUGAUAAUAACCCGAUCGGAGAUCAAUCUUUGAAAAUACUGUGGCACCUUUUAGUUGAUCAAAUAAGUCAUCAAUUCGAGGAAUGGGUACUUAUUCUUUAUAGUUACCUUAUUAAGCUGCCGAUAGUCAAUACAUAGUCUCAAAGACCCGUCUUUCUUUUUCACAAACAGAACUGGAGCACCCCAAGGUGAAUGACUCGGACGAACAAAACCUCUGUCAACAAGUUCCUGUAACUGUGCCUUUAACUCUUUUAAUUCUGUAGGAGCCAUACGAUACGGAGCUAUGGAAAUUGGGGCAGUUCCCGGAAUCAGAUCUAUAGAAAAUUCCACUUCUCUUUCUGGUGGCAACCCUGGUAACUCCUCUGGAAAUACAUCAGAAAAUUCACAUACAACUGGCACUGCCUGUAUCUUUGACUCAGAUACCUUAGUAUCCAACACAUAUGCCAAAUAAACAUCAUACUCUUUUCUAACACACCUCUGAGCUGUCAUAACUGAAAUCAUAUCGGAUAAUCCCUCUGUCUGAUUAGAUUUAUCCCAAAGUAAUUCUCCAUUCUGGCAUUUCAACACAACAUAUUUUUGUCUACAGUUUACUACUGCAUCAUGCUGAGUUAACCAAUCCAUGCCCAAUAUCACAUCAAACUCAUCAAAAUGCAAUAACAUCAAGUCAACCGGGAAACAAAUACCUUUUACCAUCAGUGGACAAUUUUUACAAACUUUAUCCACUAUCACAAACUGGCCCAGGGGGUUCGAGACUUUAAUCAUAAAUUCAGUAGGUUCAACAGACAAAUUUUUAACAAAUGCUAAUUUUGUGCAUAUAUAUGAAUGUGUAGAGCCAGGAUCAAUUAAUGCAAUAACAGUAGUGUAGUAGGCCAAUUUUGGCUCACUAAUACCAAACCCCAUACCCCCACUACAACAGCCCCAUACCUCCACUACAACAGUCCCAUACCGUCUGACACCCCCACCACCAACACCGGCCAUACCCUGCAAACACAAACAACAAAAAAGGCAGCCACAACAGAGGAAUAAGGGCAUUUUUAUUGUUAUUGUAAUCGAUUAUAAAACCGAAGGGAGAAAUUUUGAAAGCAGGACGGAUUGUAUUUUGGAAAAGGGGGGUUUUUCGUUGUAAAAGACAUACAUCAAAAAUCAAAUACAGAACUAAGAUUGGAAAAAGGUUGUUCUUCUUUUAAAAAAUUUUUGUUCUCUUCGUUCUCUUUUUCAUAGUUUUUGUUUUUCUGUUCUUUUCUUUUAUUUCAAAUCUAUUUAAAAGUAAUUAAAAAACAAAAAAAGGAAAAAAGAAGGUUACCUGAAUCGGCCCCUAGGCCCGCCGUCGAUGGUGAUUCGCCGUCGCCGAAUGUGGGUUCAAGGAGGGGCCAAAGUUCUUCUCUUUCCCCUCGUCUCUUCGUUCCAUGGCCUCGUCCCAUGAGCGCGUUUCAAGGCGCCGAUAGGAGCCUUCUUUGCACAGCUCCGAUCACCGGACAGCGAAGGCAUGGCGGCGGCGGGGUUUCAAUCUUGGAACCCUAGCAGAGGAGGGAGUUUCCCUUUAUUUUUUCUUUUUUUUCUUCUUGCGUUCUGUAAAGAAUGAAGCAGCAGAAAAAAUAAAGCAAUUUUUUUAGUUUUUAUUUUGAUUUGUGAUACGGCGCCGUUUAAAGGGGAGACCUGCGCACUUUGCCCUAAUGGUUUAUUUGCGCUUUUGGUCCCUCUAGCUCUGCGACACGUUCCAUGUAGCCUUUCAAUUCUUUUAAUCUUGGCCGCAUAUUUUUUCGUCUGCUCCAAUUUAGUCCGCGCAUAAAUGCGGCGCUUCAGGACUUGGGCAUAUUUCCCGAUCAGUCCUCCGUACUUUGCGCGCGCCUCAUUUCAGUCUCCCAGCCUUUAAAUAUCUCAUAUUUCAGCCCCAAAUCAUUUUAUUUGUUUGCAAUUCGCCCCAAAUUUUAGUUUAGUUUUCAAUUUAAUCCCUUAUUUGUUAUUUUAGUUAUUUUAUCAUUAAAUUAGUUAUUUUAACAUUAUUAUUACUAUUAUAUUACAUUACUAUUAUUAUUGUUAUCUAUUUAUUUAUAUUUAUAUUUAUUUAAAUUUUCGGUACAUAUAUAUACUUAUAUUUUUAUAUAUUUUACAACUUAUGUACAUACCUAUAUAUUUAUAUACAUAUUUUCAUUUUCAUAAAUAUAUACACGUACACAUUUUUCUCUAAUAUAUAUAUGUAUAUAUAUAUACUCAUAUACAUUUCUUACUAUAUCUUAUAAUUUAUAUAUAUACACGUAUAUUUUCUCUAUUUAUUUUAAAUAUAUUUUUUGUAUUUCAUAUUUUCUACAUGCAUAUAUAUAUACUUAUCUAUUUACAUAUUUUAACUCAUAUACCUAUACAUGUAUACAUAUUUACAUAUAUUUUUAUAUUUAAUAAUCUCACAAUACGUAUACGUACAUAGAUUUUUCAUAUUUUCAUAGUUUUGUGUACAUUCAUGUAUAUACGUUCUUUACAUUUAUUCGUUAUUUAUUUAUUUAUCUUCAUUUUCAUUAUUAUUUAUAUUUAAUAAUCUUAUUUUCGUUGCUAUUACUCGUGUUGUUUUUAUGCCAUCAUAUUCGUUAUUGUUUUGUCAUGCAUUAACACCAAACAUCGAAAGGAAAGUUUUUUCUAAAUAAGGCAAUAUUUCGCGUUUGGAAAAUCGAGAAAACGUGCCCUAACGUGCUGGGUUUCGAUUUCUCGUUCGACUAAAUAGCCAAAUAUCCUCUUAAAGCUUCAAAGUAUGGUUUCAUUAAACUAUAAGGUGAUCUUGGUUUCGAUGGUUUAGAGUAUCGUGUCCUAACGUGCUGGAUGUGAUAUUCCUUCGGAACAAGAGAAUCUUAUAUUUCAAUUCACGUUACCAGAGUUUCUUUUAAGGAUCGUAUUUUUUUAAAAACUCUUCGAAUUUUCAAUUUUCGACAGUAAGACACUAAUUAAUCAACUAGGUACCAAUUUUGGGCGUAUCGAGGGUGCUAAUCCUUCCUCGUGCGUAACCGACUCCCGAACCCGUUUUUUUUUAAUUUCAUAGACCAAAAUCUUUGUUUUAAUAAAAAUUAAAUCGUUUAUUAAAAACAACCACUUUUCAAGGUGACCCGAUCACACCUCAUCAAAAAAGGAUUGGUGGCGACUCCCAUUUUUUGUUUUAUUUUUAAAAUUCAAGUCGACCCCGUUUUCAUCCAAAAAAUGGUGUCAACAAGUAGUAUCAUAGAGAGAAAAUGUACCCGCAAUUACAUCAGGAGAGGACGCCUCUUCACGAGCUCGAAUAGCAUAUGAUCUUGCAGGUGCUCUAACAUCUGAUCUAACCGCUGAAUCUUUGAAUGCACCCCUAUUACUUGCCCCCACUCCUGGGUUUCUCUGCGGUCUACCUCUGGUAGGAGCAUUACCUGAUCUCGCACUCGUUAUUUCUUCUCUUUUAGUUGUUUCAGGACAAUCCCGAAUAAAGUGAUCGGAUGCUCCACAUCUGAAACAAACAUUUUCACCUGCUCUACACUCUCCGGGGUGGCGUCUCCCACAUUGAGGACAUUCCGGUCUAGGAGGUCGAGUACUGCCAGUACUUGCAACUGUAGUGGUUUGAGCUCUAAAACCCUUGAAUCUUCUACUUCUGCUUCGGCCAGAAUAUAUAUGUGGAAAAUGUGAUCCGCUAGAGAGCUCCCUAGGCCUCUUAGAUGUAGACUGAAAUGAUUUACUCAUUUGCCUCUUCUUUGUAUCCUGCGCUCCAGCUUCAGCUUUGCUCUUCUCUUUUUCUUUUAACAAGUCUUCUACUUUACAAGCUCUUUCUACCAGAACAACAAACUCUCUGAUUUCCAAUACACCCACUGAUAGUCGGAUGUCAUCAUUAAGCCCAUCUUCAAAUCUCUUGCACAUGUUGGCUUCGGUGGAUACAAAUUCCCGAGCAUACUUACUAAAUCUGACAAAUUCGCAUUCAUAUUCAGUCACGGACAUCUUACCUUGUUUUAGCUCAAGAAACUCCUUCCUUUUCUGCUCUGUAAAUCUCUGGCUGAUGUACUUCUUUCGAAACUCCUCCUGAAAGAAAUCCCAAGUAACCCUCUCACUCGGUACGAUAGACACGAGAGUCUUCCACCAAUGAUAAGCGGAAUCUCUGAGAAGUGAGACCACACACUUCAUACAUUCUUCCGGUGUACAAGAUAAUUCUUCAAAAACCCUAAUGGUAUUCUCAAGCCAGAAUUCUGCUUUUUCUGCAUCGUCAUCUUUGGUAGCCCGAAAUUCUUCAGCCCCUUGCUUCCUAAUCUUAUCAACAGGUGGUCUCUCCCUGAUAAAUAUACCUGCAGCUGGGGAAGCUACAUGGGGAACCUGUGAAUCUUGAGGGGGUGGAGGUCUUACAGCCGGAUUCGUACGAACGAACUCGGCAAACCAAUCAGUCAUGGCUUGGAAGAAGGCUUCUCUAGCUCCUCCUCCCUGUCUAUCUGAUGCAGGUCUUUCACUAACAUUAACAUCUGAUGGCACCGUCCCUUCUGCGGGAAUAGGUGCAUUACUCUCUACUUCAUCUGUACUAGCUCGUUCAGGAUCCAUAACUAUAAAAGAAAACAUUUUAAAAUCGUCAGGAGUCGUCACACUAUCAAAAUAUAUAAGUAUGGCAUGUAUAGGUAGACUCUUAUUCUUACUGAGUAUUUCCGAGAACCGACUAAACCUGCUCUGAUACCAAUAAAAUGUAACACCCCUUACCCGAGACCGUUUCCGGAGUCGAGCACGAGGCAUUACUUAGCUUAUCUUACCAAUUCGGAGCAUAAAAACUAGGUUUGAAAAUUUAUUUCAUUAUUCGCAGCAAAUCUGUCCAAUCGCGCAGCAGUUACUAAAUUAAUUAUAACUUGAGAUACAGAACUCGAAAUUUAAUUCCGUAAAUUUUCCCUGAAACUAGACUCAUAUAUAUACUCACCAUAAAAUUUUUAGAAUUUUUGGUUCAGCAAAUUAGUACAGUUUAUUAGUUAAAGUCUCCCCUGUUACACCACCUGACUGCCCUGACCUCUAGUCACUAAAAAUAAGUUUUCUCACUGUAGGAUUUUCAUAUGAAGUUCUCACUUUUUUCUACAGAAAAUAGACUCAUUAAGAAAUCUAAGCAUGUAAAUUUCAACCCAUAACCAUUUUUUUACAAUUUGUAAUUAUUUUCUAAACUCAGAACAGGGGACUCCAAAAACAGUUCUGACCCUAUCUUACUAAAAUUCACAUAUCUUAAAAUAUAAAUUUCCUUUUUCUACACCGUUAUUUUUCCAUGAAAAUAGACUCAACAAGCUUUAAUUCCAUAUAUCAUUCACCCUCUAAUUUAUUUUAUACUAUCUUGGGUGAUUUUUCAAAUUCACGUCACUGUGCUGCCUGAAUUCUGUUUCUUUGCAAAAUUUUAUCCUUUCAUGAUUUCCAUGCAUAAUUUAUCACCUAAUCUUUCAUAACAACAAACACCUUCAUCCUUAACCAUUUUAAUAACCAUACAUCAUCAAAUACUUACACAUCACUCAUUAGCAAAAUCAUCAUUACAAACAUACAAAAUAACUAAAUCCCUAUACAUGCCAUAACUCAAACGUGUUUCGAUAUAAAAUAUCGAGCAGUUGUAGUUGAUAGUGUGGACGAUCUCCGACUUCUUUAGGAUCCUUGAAGUAGCUUUGCAAUACUAUAAGAGAAAGAGAAAUAAAAGAAGUAAGCAUAAAGCUUAGUAAGUUUACUAGCAAAUAAAUAACAAUAUUUAACUUAAAUAAUUAAACUCAAUGUCUAUAUCUCUAGUUUACUCUUUAGUUAAUCUCAUACUAGUUCUCUUACUUGUUUACUUAGAAUACUUGUGUGCAUAACUUACUCAAUCCUUGCUGCAUCGUUGAACAUCAAUUGAUAGUAUAAUAAGUUCUUAAGUCUUACAACUUACCUGAGCUUGCCAUUUAUGCUUUAAACUGAACUUUCAAGAACAUGAUUCGUUUACAAGCCCGUUGAGCUACAUUGGAAUAAUAAGGAUACUCGGGUCUCUUCUGAUAAUAACAUGCCAAAGCCAUGUCCCAGACAUGGUCUUACAUGGGAUGUUCUCGUAAUGGUGCCCAUGCCAUGUCCCAGACAUGGUCUUAUAGGGGACCUCUCAUCUCGGUGCCAACGCCAUGUCCCAGACAUGGUCUUACAUGGGACCUCUCGUCUCGGUGCCCAUGCCAUGUCCCAGACAUGGUCUUACAGGGGACCUCUCAUGAUCUUAAGGAUGCCAAUGCCAUGUCCCAGACAUGGUCUUACAUGGGAUCUCUUUACCCAAAUGUCAUGACAUUCGUAUCCAGUACCAUCCUUAUGUAUCAACGGGACUUUUAAAUUUUAAUUCUCUAUCAUUUCAUGCUUGGAUCAUCAUCAAAUAAAUUCAUAAAAUAAAUUCAUAAUUGCUGGAAAUUAACAGCAUUAAUAAUAAAUAUUGAAAUAUUGCAUUUAUUUACCGUAAAAUUACCUCGGUACCAAUUAUAGCUAAAUUCACCAACUUAGUCUUCAACUUUAUUCUUCCCUUUGUCUAACCUCGAGUUUCGUACUUCUUGAUCUAAAAUAGUAAAUUUAACUUAUUUAAUAAUCACAUUCAUCAAAACAGCCCUCGACUCUAACUUUUUCAAAAUUACAAUUUUGCCCCUAAACUUUUACAUAAUUACAUUUUUGCCCCAAGGCUCGGAAAUUAAACUUCAUCUCUUAUUCUUAUGUUUUAUAACAUUCUGAACAUUUUUCCCUUUUAUGGCAACAUCAAAUUCCCACUCUAACAUGUACUUAUGAACAUUAGGUAUUUUUACCGAUUAUGUCGUUUUACUCGUUUUCACUUAAAAUCGCUUAGCAAAAGUUGUUUAACAUAAUUUCUAGCUUCAUAUUCUAUCAUAAAACAUCAAAAUAAACACUUUUCACCUAUGGGUAUUUUUCCAAAUAUAAACCCUAGGUUAAAUUAUUGCUAGAAUAAGCUAAAUUAAGCUACCGGGAUCUCAAAAACGUAAAGAACAUUAAAAACGGGGCUUGGGAUCACUUACUAUGGAGCUUGGAAGCUUGAAAACCCUAACUAUGGCUUCCCCUCUUGCUGAUUUCGUUCAUAUGAAGAAGAUGAUGAUUUUUGCCAUCUUUUUCCCUUUUAAUUCAUUUUAAUUACUAGAUUACUAAAUUGCCCCUAACUUAAAAAUUUUCUAUUUCACUUAUCUCAUGUCCAUUUUUGUCUACCAAGUUACCAAUGGUAUAAUUAUCAUAUAAAGACCUCCAAUUUAAAGUUUCAUAACAAUUGGACACCUCUAACAUGUAGAACUCAACUUUUGCACUUUUUACAAUUUAGUCCUUUUGACUAAAUUGAGUGCCCAAACGUCGAAAUUUUCGAACGAAAUUUUCAAAAAUCAUUUUGUGAAAUUUUAGAUCAUAAAAAUAUAAGAAAAAUAAAAUUUUUCUCAUCGGAUUUGUGGUUCCGAAACCACUGUUCCGAUAACCUCAAAUUUGGGCCAUUACAAUUUAAUUUUAAAAAAAAUAUUUUUUAUACAAGUUUAAGUUAUAAUUUUUUUUAUAUUACAAACCUAAACACAUAUGAGUGCUGGAUUUUUAUGACCAAAGAUUUAUUAUAUUAUAAAUCUUUAAAAAAUAUUAAAACAAUUAUUUAUAUGUACUUUAUAAAAUUCUAAUAAAAAAUAUUAUUUAAAUCUUAAAUUUUUAAAGUUAUAACCCAAAGUUUAUUAUAAAAUAUUAGUUACAUGUUGUUAUAAUAUAUUUAUUUAUAAAAAGUUAUGACAAAAAAGUAUGGACAUAACUUAUUAAUGUGUCUAUGCUAUAUAUUAUAAAAAAUAAUAUACUGAUUCGUAAAAAAAAAUGUUAUGUUUUUUAUCAUAACUUAUUGGUAGAAAGAAUAACUUUAUAAAGUUAUGACAAAAAAUUAUAUUAUUCAUAAGAAAUGUUAUGAAAGUUAUUCGACACUUUAUAAAACUUUUUUAUAAAGGUUAUAUAUAUUAUAAAUUUUAUAUUAUCUUUUAAUUAAUUUAUUUUUUGCAAAAAGGGUUAUAACAUAGUAUAAUUUUUCAAAUUAAUUUUAUAUAAAUUUCUAUGAUUAAAGUUAUAAACCGUAAACUCAAAUAUUAUAUGGUAGAUGUUAAUUAUGCAAAUACAAAAUUUUUUUUUCAUCAUAUUGUGAGGUAUAAUACUAUUUGAAAGAAUUGAGCUAGACACAAGUACUAGAGACAUUUAAAUAUUUGAAAUAUAGUUCAGAUGAAAUUUGUUGUUAUAAAAAAAUAUUUCCCAUAUUAAUAACACCAUCUUAGUAUAACAUAAAAAAAGGUUGGAUCGUACUACAUACUUCAUAACUUCAUUCAUAGGUAGAUUUGGGAUUAUCCAUACUUCGAAGAGUACAUGGAAGAAAAAAGAUAUUAAUAAUCUUAAUGAUACAGGUUAAAAAUCAAAUAAUGAUGAAAUCAAUCAAGGACCAACAUUUGAUGAAAAAGAGUUUAUAUUAAACAUUAAAAAGGGAAUAACGCAACAAAUAUGAAACACUAGAACAAUUAGACAAAAUUUUAUGUGAUGUUUAUUUUUAUUAUUAAUCGUAUUAUCAACUACUUUGUUGGACAAUCAUAAUGCAUAUGAUGAUUUUUUUUUUAUUGUGCUAAUAAUUUUUAUUGUAAUUAAUAUUUUUAAAAAUAUAAAUUAUAUAAUUGUGUAAUUACAAUUUGUACUACUAAACAUAACAUAAGAAAUUACAAUGUGAUUACAUUUUGUCAGCCAAACACAUAUAAGAAAUUAUAAUUCUUUAUAAUUAUGAGAGAGUAUAAUUAAUAGGAGAGUAAUUGCAUUUUCAUUUAAUUGCUCCGUGCUAUUCAAACAGAUAUUUAUAAAAUGCGAUUUGACUUUUUUUAAAAGACUAAUGAUCAAAUACAGCUAAAAAAAGAAUAAAGGUCUAAUUGACAAAAGAUAUAAACAUUAAGGGUUAAAUUUACAUUAUGAUUAUAUUUUACCUAAAUAAAACUACAUUUGUUUUAAAUGAUUUUAAUAUAUGAUAAAUUUGAUCUUCAAAUAUAUUAAUUGGUUUAUUUUAUAUAUAGGAAUUAAAUUUGUAAAUGAGGAAAUUCGAUCAAUUGGGCUACAAAAUUUAGACAAUGCAAGAUUUGGUGAAGUAGGAUAAAAAACAGAAACAUAAAUAUAAAAAAUCAUUCAUGCACCAACGGUAUCAUAUUUUACAUCCGAAUAUUUGAUCCAAUGACAAUUUCAUUUUUUUUCAAACAAUCUUUUUCUUUUAAGAACCCAACUUCAUCAUCUCACUCAGUCACUCGACAUGUCUAUCCAUGUUUAAUCAAGAUUUAUGAAAGUGAAUAAUUUCCAAUAACUUCCAAAACACCCAAUUCCUUGUUUAAUGAGGAGUCUUUUAGAUGGAGUUCCAUCAUUCAAUUUGCUAAUCACUGGACAAUGAGAUGCUAACUAAAGUUAUAGUUGCUGGCUUUGCUAGAUUGUCUGUAUAUAUAUAGAUGAUAUAGAUUAUGUCAAUUCAAAUUUGAAGUUUUCUAAGGAUGGUAAUGAGUCGGGAAGGGAAGUAGAAAGUUGUGUAAUUAACAAGAUUUAUUAAAUACAAAAAUUUGGAAAAAAUUAUGAGUAGAAAUAAACAUUGUAUCAAAAUUAACUACUACAAGCCAUCGACGUAAACUAAUAAUAAAUUUUGUUGAGAAAAACAUUAAAACCUAUUUCAUCUUCCUUAAAUAAUAUUUUAACCCCAGAAACACAUAAACAAAACUCGGGAUUUAUUUUCAUCUCUCAAUACUACAUUUACAAACAGCAUCCAUUUAUUGAAAUUCAUUAGCCAACCGAAAUGGACAUUACUGUUAAAAACAUAUAUAUCGAAGGACAAGGGUUUUGUUUGAUUUCCCAACUAGACAAAACUUAAUCUGAUUAAUUCCUCAUACGUGAUUAUAAUAAUUCAAGAACAACCCACUUUAAAUUGUUUAUUUAACAUGUGAAGUGGUAGGAUCCGAUUUGUUUUGAGAAGGAAAGAUUUUUUGUCUUAUCUUACUAACAGAUUUUGUAAUUAUAUAGAAAUUAAUGUUUUUUUUUAGUUAUUAUUCAAUGAAAAAAACUCCACACAUGCCAAAUAUUCUUUUAAUUAUUUUAUUAAUUAAUUGCAUCAACAGUAAAAGGAUUUACACGCUAAACAAAGGAGGACAUAAAUGAAAAAAUAUAAAUCGGAGCCUCGCCUCCACAUAAUAAACUUUUCCAUAUGAGACCUCCCUCAGUUAUCAAUGGCACAAGGCUUCACCUGCUUCAGAUGAGUGAUAUUGUGCAACACAUGAAUAGACAUUGGAGAGAGAAUAAAGUCUUACAUUCUACACCUCCAACCUUCAAACUCAAGCUUCAUUUUAAUUUAAAAAAGUAGAUGAGUUUGGUGUAUAUGCUCUUUUUUACUCUUUCAAACACUCAUUUUUCAACUAUCAUUUCAAAUGCCUCAAUCAUUGCUCGUUGCCUCCCCCAAUUCAAAUGGAAACACAUUAAACAACAAAUAUAAAGAGGAGAAAGCGAAAUUUGAGUGCGUUCUCAUGCAUGAUUCAUCUCCCAUUACCCAUUUUUCUGGUUUCUUAGAAUUUUCCCAGAGUUUUCCAGGAAUUUAUAUAUAUAUAUUUAUUGAACAAUAUUGUAGCAGACACAUUUAUUAUUUGAGAAUGCAAUAUUGUGGAGUAGAUUAUAAUUUCCUUUUUUCAAGCUGGGUGGAGUUGAGCCACAUUUACUGCCGCUUGAGGUGACAUUUUUUAAUUUGCUUGUUUUUACUGUACAAGCGUGUGAGUGCCAACGAGUUUAAUUAUUGUCUAAUCUUAAUGAUAUUAUAAUUUAAUUGCUUUCAAAGGUAAACAAUUAUGCCAUCUAGAAUUAUAUACUGGAAUCCUAUCCAUUUAGUGCGAUUUUCAGCAUAUUUUAUUCAGAUUUUGGUGUAAAACAAAUUUUCUAGCUCAAUUAACUGGGGAAGUUUAACCCAAAUCCAUGCAAAAUUGAAUGUAGUUGUAAUAGAUGCUCCAUCAUUAUUAAUGAGUGAAAAUAUUAUUACUAGACUUCAAGUGGUAGAAUUCUCAACACAGUUAAAAUAUAAAACUCCAACCUUCAACAAAGUGGAUAUUUUUCUCGCAUUUAAAUACCAAAAAUCUUACUUUCCUUUAAUUACAAUCAAUAUUAAAUAAUUAAAAAUUAAGUAUAUUUCAACUGAAAAUACAAAAUUAUUUUGGAGAAAAAUGGGACAGCAUAAAAUUUCCUUAAAAGAUGCAAUAAGAAACCACCAGACGCCCUCAAUGAAUGAAAACAAAUUAAAUACCUCAGAGAUGUGGAAACACUCGUGGCUUCCAUUUAUAAAUGUUAAUUUCUUGAAUGAAUGAAUAUAACAAGAUUUACCCACAUCUUCCACCAACCAUAAAUAGCCUUAGCAACGUCAUCAUCUUCAUCCCUUAAUCUUGUAAGAUGAUGUAACAUUUUGUGCACUACGGCUUUGAUUGGAAAAAUAUUUGCCAUUUUUUUAUAGUGAUCUUUCUUAUCAUAAUGAAAUAUAUAUAUAUAGUUAAUUUUUAUAAAUAUGCUAAAAAAAACAAUUGAGAAAGUAAGUUGAAAAUUUUAAAAUUUAUUAAUUUAUGUUGUUUUUGGAGAAAGAAAGGAAAAAGUGUCAUAUAGGGUACGCUUUCACUUAGAUAAAAAUUAUUAUUUUUUCUUGUGAUUGAAAAUUAGAAGUUUGUAGAUUUAUUUUUGUCUGUGUUUUAGAUGGACAUGAUUAUAGUUUUAAGGAAUGUUUGAAUUUACGGUGGUGCCAUGGAGCAAGGUGACCUACAAAUUUCAUUUGCCAUAUGAGUAUACAGUAUCAGGUUGAAUUGUAACUAGAGCUUUAAGUUUACAAAUGCUAUGUUUUCAAGGUUAUGCAGACACAACAACGAUUUCUUCUCAUCAGAAGAGUAUUUUUUGUACAACUCAUACACAAAUAUGAGGAUGAAAAACACUAUGAUGUUUCAGUAUAAUCAAGUAACGUGUCUUAUCUAUUACCACUGAAGGUGAUGACCCCAUUAUUAUAAUAUGUGAUAGAAUUGGGGUGUAACAGGUUAUACUAACAAGGUCACCGCCUUCGGUGGAGAUGGACAACAUGAAUUACUUGAUUAUAAUGGAAAUCUCCUUGCAUUUUCCUUCCUCACAUUUAUGUAUGGGUUUUAUAAAGCAUGCUACUCUAUCGAGGAGAAACUCGUUGUCAUGUCCGCAUUAGUGGCAUCAACUACGGCCCCAGUUAUGCUUCAUCCUUUAACAGCAUAACAUGAGUACAUUGUGCAUAGUAUUUCUUUCAUGUAUAAUAGUUUAACAUACACAUUUGGUAUUAGAAGUUGUAUAACUCAAAUUCCUGAUAAAACAAAUACAAGUGACAAGAUAAGAGAAUCUAAGAGGUAAGAUCCGUAUAGAAGUUUACUUCUUCUAUUUGAUGUUGAUUAGAAUAAGGUGUUUUAAUAUUACUGCAUUACAUCUAUUUGACUUUUAUUAGAAUAAGAUUUUCUAACCUAUAAAUAGACGUAAUUGUCUCUCCUUUUGUAUCAUUCAAAUUUGACAUAGUGAAUUUUCUUGUCUUCUACCCGUGGUUUUUUCUUGAAAGAGUUUCCACUUAAAAUUUAGAGUGUUCUAUUUUUUUCUUUUUCUUUGCAAUUUAUUGACAUUAUCGACGUUCUGUUUUCACAUUUGGGACACUUUUCUUGAAUGCAAUAAUGUUUGUCAUCGAUAGGGUACGAGCUCGUCCAACAUCGAUUCCAUGAAAUGUUUGAGAGACUACGGGUUGUAAACUGAUUGGGUACGGAGUACUUCAAUGGGGUACCGAAAGAGUAGUGGACACAGUCGUAUGAUGGAGGACUACGAUAAAAACACAUGACCACGAACCCAGAGGAAUGCAUUAAUUCUGUACUGAAGGGGACGCAUCAUUUGCCGGUAACCUCGGUGGUUAAGGAAACGUAUUUUCGAUUAGCAAGCUUGUUUUCAAAGCGGGUUCAGACAUACAUAGGACAUAUAAAGGGUAGCCACAUUUGGCGCACGUUGAUGCUGAAAGAUAUUGGGGAAAAUGUAGAAAUUGCGAACUCAAUGAGUUGAGACAAAUUACCUGGAGAUAUAGAUGGAGUAUUCCAAGUGAAGCAGUCCUAUAGAGCCGACUGUGGAGUUAUCGAUGGAGCAUAUCGCAAAGACUUGAGACAAAUUCCCUACGACUGUAGGAGAUUUCAAGCACUUCGUUAUCCAUGCGCACAUGCAAUUGUGGCAUGUGCAUCGACACAUUUAGAUUGCAUGACCUAUGUUGACUAAGUUUACAAACUUGAACACGCAUAUAAUGUAGUGAUAAAUUUAACUAAUCCUCAAAGUAUAAUAGCAAGUAUCAUUUAAAAUAAAAUAUAGUGAUAAAUUUCAUUAUUCACCUAUAAUAUGGUGAUAAAUUUAUCCCUUUUACAUAAUAAGAAAAAAAAUAGUAGAGAUUAUCCAAGAAUCAAACCUCAUCUUGUAGAUAGAGUUUACAUUUAAAAUACAAAAUGUUUGGAAUAAUAAAUUUAUUCUCAAUGGUGCUUUAUAAUUACAAUUAAAAAUGCUAUUUUGGGUUGUGAUUAAGGACUUAUAUGUAUGUUCCCAAACACGACCUUGACCUUUUCUAGGGUUUGACCGACCUUGGCCUUUUACUAGGUUUCGGCCGACCUUGACCUUUAGCGUAUGGGAAAGUCAAGUUUAUUGUUUACUUUUUAUUUGUUUAAUUCUAAAUGAUAACCACAACUUUCCUAUUCCAAAAUCUUAGAAUUUCUUACAUCUUAUUUCAAAAAGUCUGUCAUAAAGCUAGAAUUUAUAUUUAAUUGAUUUAAUAAUAUAAUAUGUUGCUUCUGAUGAUAUUAUUGAAAGAAAUAAUUGUAAAUCUGAAAAAAAUUUAAUUUUUAUAAAUUAUAAAACAGAAAUGAAAGAUAUAUCAAUUAAACAUUACUUUGCGGAUUCACUGCUAAUUUAAGUAAUUAAUUAACUAUAAUUCCAUUUAAAUGACGGCAAGCUGAGCUUACAAAAUCUCUUGAUGAUGUAAUGAUUGUAGAAAUUGAAUGUAAAAGGAUAAUCACAAUAAGAAAGAGUAACCAUCACGAACUGAGAAAUGGAAUUUUAUUAUUAAUAUAUAAAUAGAUCUCUUUAUUAACAUAACCUAGCUAAAAUUUUCAACUUUAUUCUACGAUGUGGUGUUUUAAUUAAAAGUCUCAAUAAAUUUGAAGUUUAACUUAAUUAUUUUUAAGAGAUGAAAAUUCAAUAAAUUUAUAAGUCUUCUUUUUUUAUAUUUUAAACUUAUAAUUUCUUAAUUUCGUAACCUAUAUUCUCCACAUUUAAAAAAAAAACCCCUUAAUAAUAGUGGCCAUGCAAGUUUCAACAUUCAAGUUAUUGCCCGUUGACUUCUCCAAGCUUUAAUUACCAUUUGUCAAAUAACAUAAAUACUUAUCAAAUUUGUCAAACAUUCUUGUAAUAUUAAAAUAUAGUUUUUCAAGAAAUAUUAAUGCAUAUAUAUAUAUAUAUCCACACACAUUAGAGUGGUCCUCGACUCACUUUUAUGUUGGGAUAAUUAUUUUUUCUCGUAAAAAUUUAAAUUUUUAUAUUUUUUACAUUUUAUUUUAAUACCUAUUUUCUUUACUUUUCAAGAAUUUAAUCUCUUUAAUUAAUUUAAAAUUUAAGUCAAAAUUUUAACAACUUUAAAUAUUUUUGUUAAAUGCAUUAUCAUAAUUAAUAAAAAAAAACUCACUUGAUAAUUAUGUAAUAAAAAAUUGACGUAAGGAUUGGAUAGAGGUUAUGAAUAAAAAUGAAAAUGAGACACUGAUGCUCACAAGCUACUCAAGUUCGUCUAAAAAAAAUUGAACUCAAUUCGAUAAUUAUUGAGCUAUUGAUCAAGUCAAAUUCAAGCUUAAUAAUACUUGACUUGAACAACACGCAACGUUAUUAAACUUUUCUUAUUUUUAUAUUAUUAAAUCAUGUUAUUUUCUUUAAUAUAUUAUUAACACUAAGCUUAAUUAUUGAGUUGAGCUUGAGCACAAAAAUUGGUAAACAAACUUAUCAAGCUCCAAAUUUCAAGUCAAGCUUGAGCUUAAGCUUGGUAGUAUUCGGGCACAACUCAACUCAAUUGCAACCCUAAUUAUAAAUAGUUAUAGGUAUUGUAUAAAAAAAUAAAUGUUAACAAUUUUAAAAAUUCAUGUAAGUAUAAAAUAUUUGGAUUAACUAAUAACAUUACAAAAUUUAAGAUAUUAAAAUAUGUCAAAAAUUAUAGUAUAAAAAUUAAAUUUAAAAAUAGAAUUUCAAAUUUAAAUACCAAAACUAAAAUUUGACCAUUACUACAUCAAACCAAAAAAAAAAAAUCUAUUAUUCAUGCCUUCCUAAAAAAAAAAUUCCCUUUAUUAUUUUCAUUCAAGGGUUGAUUAUAUAUUUAAUCUUUCCAAACAUAAAAGUGAAGUUAAUUAUAAUUAACUUUCAACUAAUGUUAUUUAUGUACCGUAAAACGGACAAAAAAAUAUAUAAAAAAAUAUAAUGUUAUCUUUUGAAGAGUUAAAUUGGGUUUUAAUUGGGGGAUUAAAAGUGAUUAAAAGAUAAUUAGUUGAAACAACGUUUAUCACGAAAAACGUGUAAACGUGUGAGAGCGCAAUGUAAUAAUAUGACCACCAGUUGACUGCAAAGUACAAACACAACAGCUUUUCAAAGUUUUAUUGUAUAGUUUUCUAUGAUACAACGUGGAAAUGCCUCAGCAGAUUAUCCAGUCUUGACAUUUAACUGUCAAUAACAGCAAAGGCAAUUAUGGUUCAAUAUACAGUUGCACCCACUAAACCAUGUUUUAAUUCAAUCCACCACCACUUUUGUAUUUAUAAUCAUUUCAAUUUUGACUUACUCUUUGGUUGGAUUCGAAGCAACCAAUGUUAACAGUGUGGGAGAUGAAUCAGCUAUGCCCUCCAAAUCAAACAGGGGUCAAAACGGAGAUAUAUAAGUUAACGGGCUUGAAUUCAUAGGAGUCCUAGGUUAUUACUGUUGCUUUUGAAAAUUUUUAUCUUGUUAAAAAGAGUUUAUAGUAAUCUAAAAAUAUUGUAAAGUAAAAAGUAUAUUCCCUUACCAAUUUCAAGUGGAUUAUUUACUUAAACAAAAAUUUACAUCUAAUUUAUUUAUAAAUUUUGAAAAGAAGUUACAAUGUCUAGAUUUAUUGAUUAUAAAAAAAACUCUUUUCAUUAUUUUUUUUAAAAGUGCUUUGAUUUAAGCAUCGUCUAGACUUGAUUUAAAAAGAUGUAGUUUGCGUCAAGGGUUGUCAAGAUUUAAUCUUGAAACUGGAUUUGGAGAGAUGCUCGCUUGAGAAUUUGAUUUGAUUUGGAUUCAAGAGUAUUCUAGACUUGAUCUUGAAUCGAUGACGUGUAACACCCCUAAAAGGAUUGUAUGAAACAGUGACGCCACGUCAUCUGUAUCCCUUUCCAAUAGUUUUAUGCCAUAUUAGUAUUCUUAUCCUGAAUUUUAGAAUUUUAUCCUGAAUUUUAGUAUUUUAAUUUGAAUUUGAUUUUUUCAGGAUAAAAUCCUGAAAUUCAGGAUAAGAGUACUGAUGUGGCAUAAAACUAUUGGAAAGGGAUACAUAUGACGUGGCGUCACUGUUUCAUACAAUCUUUUCCCAAUCAAUAUAAUAUAAAAGUAGUAUUAAAUUGAAUGAUGUAUAAUUGAUUUUUUUGGUAAAGUGAGAAAAUGAUAAAAGAAAGGUUGAGUGAUACCAAGAAAAAAAAUUGAAUUAAGAAGUAUGUUGUGAUAAAUUAAUUUAAAACAAUGAUUAAAUUGUAAAUAUAUGAAAAGCUUCACUUGGAUUUAAGUUUUACACUGAAAAUAUGUUACAAACAUGUUUGUAGGGUUAAAAUAUGACUAGAAAAGGGUUCAAAUAAUUGAAUUUAGCCAGAAUUACUUCAGUGCUCAAAUGUGUCAUUCCUAUAUUCGACUUAGUAGUCAGGUCGGAUAUAGGGGUGUAACAGCCCGAUUUUGGGCCUAGUCGGAAUAGUGGUUUCGGGACCACAAAUCCGACGAGGGAAAAUAUGGUUAUUAUUAUAUUUUUAUGGUCUACAAUUUCACGGAAAAUUUUCGUAAAAAUUUCGUUCGAAAAUUUCGACGUUUGGGCACUCAAUUUAGUCAAAAUGACUAAAUUGUAAAUAGUGCAAAAGUUGAGUUCUAUAUGCAGAAGUAUCUAAUUGAUAUGAAAUUUUAAAUUGGAGGUCUUUAUGUGGUAAUUAGACCAUUAGUUAGUUGAUGGACAAAAAUAGACAUAAGAAAUGAGAGAAAUAGAUUUUUUUUUAAGUGGGGGCAUAUUAGUCAUUUGGUAAUAAAAAAAUUAAAAUGGGAAAAAGAUGACAAAAAUCAUCAUCUUCCUCAUUAGUUGCUGCCGAAAUUUGAAGGAAGCCAUAGCUAAGGUUUCUUUGCUUUCUCAAGCUCAUAGUAAGUGCAUCCUAGCCCCGUUUUUAAUGUUCUUCGCAUUUUUGGAAUCCUCGUAACUCGGUUUAGCUUAUUCUAGCAAUAAUUCGUGUUAGGGCUCAUAUUUGGAAAAAUACCCAUAGGUGAAAUGUGUUUAUUUUGCUGUUUUAUGGUGGAAUAUGAAGCUAUAAAUUAUGUUAAACAACUUUUGCUAAGCGAUUUUAAGCGAAAACGGGUAAAUAGGCAUAAUCGGUAAAAAUAAUUAUUGUUCAUAAGUGUAUGUUAGAGUGAGAAUUUGAUGUUGCUAUAGAAGGGAAAAAUGUUCAGCAUGUCAUAAAACCUAAGAAUAAGUGAUGAAGUUUAAUUUCCGAGCUUGGGGACAAAAGUGUAAUUAUGCAAAAGUUUGGGGGCAAAAUUGUAAUUUUUCAAAAAGUUGGGUGGUGGAUUAUUUUAAUGAAUGUGAACAUUAAAUGAGUUAAAUUUGCUAUUAUAGAUCAAGAAAGACGUGAAGAUUAUCUCAAACGAGGAAAAGAAAAGAUAGUGGAGUGAAGUGCAAAAUUACGAUAUUUUGCACCGAGGUAAGUAAACACGUGACUUGAUGUAUUAUUUUGACAUUAAUUGAUAUAUGUUGAGAUUUAUUUGGAAUUAAAAUAAAUGUUUGGCCAUAUCCUAAAAAUGUUGUUAAAUCGGGAAAGGUGGUAAAGGGUUGCAAUAUAUGAUUUAUGGGUUGAACACUCGGAAUAAGCCGAAGUAUGUUGUACAUAAAGGGGUUGCUGCGUGCUGAUUCCCCGAUUCAUUGGUGGUGCUAUGUGCGAUAUCCACCGUAUCUUUGAAAUGUGAAAGGGGGUUGCUAUGUGCUGAUUCCCCCGAGGGGUUGCUAAGUGCUGAUUCCCCGGUUCAUUGGUGGUGCUAAGUGCGAUAUCCACCGUAUCUCUGAAAUAAAAAGGGGGUUGCUAUGUGCUGAUUCCCCCAAGGGGUUGCUAAGUGCUGAUUCCCCGAUUAAGUGGUGGUGCUAAGUGCGAGAUCCACCAAUAACGGUCAACAUUCCGAGUGCUCAACGAAAAAGUGUGGAAGGUGAAUAUUGCCAUAUGGUGGAAAUUUUUAUGGGGCAAAUAUUGAGUUGGAUACUAAAUCGAUCCAUGUAUGAGAUGGGAGAAAAUAUCAAAAACGAAAAAAGGAACGAUUUAGUUAUAAACUGUGUUGAACAACAGCAGAUUGGUAACUUUGAAAAAUCACCAUAAAUGGUGGAAAAUGAAUGGGAAGCUGAAUAAUAUAUGAAAUUGAAGCUGAAUGUGUCUAUUUUCAUAUGAAAUAAAUAGAAUAAGCAAAAGAGUUGUAUUUUUGGAGAUAUCUGAAUUUUACUGAAACAGGGCUGGAUUGAUUUCGGGAUCCCCUGUUCUAACUUUGGAAAAUCACCAAAAAUUGUACAAAAAUAAUUAUGGUGUGAAAUUUAUAUUCCUGGAUUCCUUAUUGACUCUAUUUUUAAUAGAAACAAGCGAAACCAUUUUUAAAAUUUUUUACAGAGAGUUAAGUGAAUUUUUUUGAGGAAGGGUCAGAACCAUUGGGCAGUGAAACAGGGGAAGUUUUAAUGAAUAAACUGUACUAAUUGGCUGGGUAAAAAAUUCUGAAAUUUUUAUGGUGAAAUGGUAUAUGAGUCUAGUUUCAGGGAAAAUUUACGAAACUCAAUUUGGAGCCCUGUAGCUCCGGAUAAAAAUAAAUUAUCGACUAUGACGCAGAAAAAUAGUUUGCUGGAAAUUGCCUAAACAAUGAAGUUAUUCAUGAAUAAGUUUAUAUUUUGGUGUAGUUAUGUGAGUAAUUACUUAUUUAUCAUGUGUUUACUUACUAAGCUAUAUGCUUACUCGAUUUUAUUUUUCCCUUGAUUAUAGUGACUUCCGACAACUCGGAAAUUUGGAACGAAGUCAGACAAUCAUCCACACUAUCCUUCACACUUGGGGUAUUUUGCUACUAUCGUUCCGGAAAAUUAUGGCAUGUAUAGACGACCUAUGAAAUAUGGAAUCAUCAUGUAAAUAUAUGUUAUGGUUUGAUUUAAAAUGUGGUGUUCAUUAAUAGUUAAAUUGUGAGUAUUAUUAUAAAUGAGUUUGGUUGAUAUAUAUAUUGGAUUGUGAUUUAAAUUUGCAGGAGGUUUAAGCAAAAUUAAGCAGAAAUGCUGUCGAAUUUUUUUUUAAAAAACUUAGUAAUACCUCAUACUCUGUUCCGAGCCGGAAUACGAGUAAGGGGUGUUACAUUUUAGUGGUAUCAGAGCUACGGUUUAGUCGGUUCUCGGACCAAUAAAAUAUGUGUGAAAGUCAGUCUAUACAUGCCAUCAAUAUAUUGUGAUAGUGUGAUGAUUUCUGACAAUUUAAAAUUUUGUUUUAUAUAGUAAAUGGAUCCUAAUCGAAGUAUGACAGAUGAUGUUGAAAGUAACACGCCGGUUCCCGCACAAGGGACCGCGCAUGAAGAGAGUAGACAUGAGACACAUGGACAGGAUGAGGCUCAAGAAGCCUUCCUCCGAAUGAUGAGUGAUUGGUAUACAGAAUAUGUCCGUGUAAAUCCGAAUGUUCCACCUCCUCCACCCCCUCCUAUUCCUCCGCCGGUCCCCGUAGCUCCACGAAGUGCUGAAUUGGUGAGAUCAAGUAAACCACCCGUUGAUAGAAUUCGAAAGCAUGGGGCUGAAGAUUUCAGGGCCAAUGUUGAUGAUGAUCCGGAAAAAGCCGAGUUUUGGCUUGAAAAUACUAUCCAGGUAUUUGAUGAAUUAUCUUGUACUCCUGAGGAAUGUUUGAAAUGUGCUGUGUCUUUAUUGAAGGAUUCGGCAUACCGUUGGUGGAAAACAUUAAUAACGGUGGUUCCAAAAGAAAGAGUUACUUGGGACUUCUUUCAGGAAGAAUUCAGAAAGAAAUAUGUAAGCCAACGGUUUAUUGAUCAGAAGCGCAAAGAGUUUCUCGGAUUGAAACAGGGCCGAAUGUCAGUAGCAGAAUAUGAACGGGAGUUUGUCCGGCUUAGUAAAUAUGCCCAGGAAUGUGUGCCUACGGAGGCUAUUAUGUGUAAAAGAUUUGAAGAGGGGCUAAAUGAAGACAUCAGAUUACAUGUUGGAAUUUUAGAGUUAAAAGAAUUUGUGGUAUUAGUUGAUCGUGCUUGCAAAGCUGAAGAGCUGAGUAGAGAAAAGAGAAGGGCAGAGAUGGAAGCUCGAGAUGUAAGGAAGAGGUCAAUGGGCAGAACAUUUCAAUCUCACCCGAAGAAGUUUAAAGGGAUGGAUCCACGACCAACCGGUUCAGUUGGGUAUUCACGCAGAGACCGAGGGAGGUCAUAUUCCGGAACUACAACUCGAGCUACCUCAGUGGCAAGUGUGGGUAAUGUAGGAAACACCAGACCUGAAUGUCAACAGUGUGGCAGGCGACAUACUGGUGAGUGUUGGGGAUUUAAACGAGCUUGUUUCAGAUGUGGUUCCCAAGAGCAUUAUGUAAAAGACUGCCCUGAGAGAAUAGAAGAAGAAAGAUUACAAAGAGCUGGAUCGGGUGAUGUUGUCAGUAGAGGCAGACCACCGAGAAAUGUGGGAAGCAAAGCCAGUGGUAAGAGUGUGAUAAAAGAUGCAGCUGGAGGAUCAGAAACUAGAGCGCCUGCCAGGACUUAUGCUAUACGCGCUCGAGAGGAUGCCUCAUCUCCCGAUGUGAUUACUGGUACAUUUUCUCUUCAUGAUAUUGAUGUUAUUGCUUUGAUUGAUCCCGGCUCUACUCAUUCAUAUAUAUGCAUGAAUUUGGUGUCUAGUAAGAAAUUGCCUGUUGAAAACACUGAAUUUGUAGUUAAAGUAUCAAAUCCUUUAGGCAAAUAUGUCUUAGUCGAUAAGGUUUGCAAGAAUUGUCCCCUGAUGAUUCAAGGUCACUGUUUCCCGGCUAAUUUGAUGUUGUUACCAUUUGAUGAGUUUGAUGUUAUUUUGGGGAUGGAUUGGUUGAUAUUGCAUGAUGCCAAGGUAAAUUGUAGACAGAAAAUUCUUGAAUUAAAUUGUGAAAACGGUGAAAUUCUCCGGGUUGAAACAAAGGAGCCGAAUAAGUUGCCUAUGGUGAUUUCGCACAUGUCUGCUCAGAAAUACUUGAGAAAGGGAUGUGAAGUUUAUCUUGCUUAUGUGCUGAACACGGAUAUUACUGGGUCGAAGCUUGAAUCAGUGCCGGUAGUUUGUGAAUUUCCAGAUGUAUUUCCAGAGGAAUUGCCUGGGUUACCUCCGAUUAGAGAAGUUGAGUUUUCUAUUGAUCUGUUACCUGGUACUGCACCGAUUUCUAUUGCACCGUAUCGAAUGGCUCCGACUGAGUUGAAGGAAUUAAAAGCUCAGUUACAAGAGUUGACAGAUAAAGGAUUUGUGAGACUGAGUUUUUCUCCUUGGGGUGCUCCUGUGUUAUUUGUGAAAAAAAAGGACGGCUCUAUGAGACUUUGUAUUGACUAUCGUCAGCUCAACAAGGUGACUAUAAAGAACAAGUAUCCUUUGCCGAGAAUUGAUGAUUUAUUUGAUCAAUUAAAAGGGGCAACAGUGUUUUCUAAGAUUGAUUUGAGGUCUGGUUACUAUCAGUUAAGAGUUAAAGAGUCUGAUGUGCCGAAAACCGCCUUUAGAACAAGGUAUGGACACUAUGAAUUUCUGGUAAUGCCUUUUGGGUUAACAAAUGCUCCAGCUAUUUUUAUGGACUUGAUGAACCGAAUUUUUCGGCCGUACUUGGAUAAGUUCGUGGUGGUGUUCAUAGAUGAUAUUUUAAUCUAUUCUCGGGAUGAAUCUGAGCAUGCAGAACAUUUAAGAACUGUGUUGCAGAUUCUGAGAGAAAAGAAAUUGUAUGCUAAAUUCAGCAAAAGUGAGUUUUGGCUUCGUGAGGUUGGAUUCUUGGGACAUAUAGUUUCAAGUGAAGGUAUUCGGGUUGAUCCAAGCAAAAUUUCAGCAAUUGUUGAUUGGGAGCCACCAAAGAAUGUGACAGAAGUUAGAAGCUUUCUGGGCUUAGCUGGGUAUUACAGACGCUUUGUCAAGGGAUUUUCGAUGAUUGCUUCUCCUAUGACUAAGUUACUGCAGAAGAAUGUCAAGUUUGAAUGGACCAAUAAAUGUCAACAGAGUUUUGAAAAGUUGAAGGCAUUAUUGACUGAGGCGCCAGUGUUGGUGCAACCUGAGUCCGGGAAGGAGUUUGUAAUUUACAGUGAUGCAUCGUUGAAUGGUCUUGGGUGUGUGUUAAUGCAAGAGGGCAAAGUAAUAGCUUAUGCUUCGAGACAAUUGAAACCGCAUGAGAAGAAUUAUCCGACGCAUGAUUUAGAAUUGGCUGCCAUUGUUUUUGCUUUAAAAAUUUGGCGUCAUUAUUUGUAUGGUGAAAAGUGCUGAAUCUUCACUGAUCAUAAGAGUUUGAAGUAUUUGAUGAGCCAAAAAGAUUUGAAUUUGCGGCAACGAAGAUGGCUCGAGCUAAUCAAAGACUAUGAGCUAGUGAUUGAUUAUCACCCCGGGAAAGCUAAUGUGGUUGCUGAUGCCUUGAGCAGAAAAUCUUUAUUUGCUUUGAGAGCUAUGGGUACGAUGUUAACUUUAUCUGAUGAUGGCUCAAUGUUGGUUGAAUUGAGAGCUAGACCAUUAUUUCUUCAGCAAAUUCGGGAAUCUCAAAAGAAUGACAGUAAAUUGCAAGCCAAGAGAGCUCAGUGUGAAGCAGGUGUUGACUCAGAUUUUCAAAUUGGUUCAGAUGAUUGCUUGAUGUUCCGGGAUAGAGUAUGUGUACCAAGAAAUGAUGAGUUAAUUCAGACCAUUUUAUGUGAGGCACAUAGUGGUGACUUGUCAGUUCAUCCGGGUAGUGUGAAAAUGUAUAAUGAUUUGAAGAAGUUGUAUUGGUGGCCAGGCAUGAAAAAGGAUAUCUCGGAAUUUGUAUCAAAGUGUUUAAUCUGUCAACAAGUGAAGGCUGAGCAUCAAGUACCAUCGGGUUUACUUCAACCGAUAACGAUUCCAGAGUGGAAGUGGGAUAGUAUUACGAUGGAUUUUGUGACAGGAUUGCCUUUAACUCCAAAGAAGAAAGAUGCUAUUUGGGUAAUUGUUGAUAGAUUGACAAAGUCGGCUCAUUUUAUUCCGAUACGCAUUGAUUACUCACUUGACAGGUUGGCAGAAUUAUAUGUUGCUAAAAUAGUGAGAUUACAUGGGGUGCCUAAAUCUAUUAUAUCGGAUAGAGAUCUGAGAUUUACUUCGAGGUUUUGGAUAAAGUUGCAGGAAGCCUUGGGUACAAAAUUGAAUUUCAGUACUGCGUUUCAUCCGCAAACUGACGGGCAAUCGGAAAGAGUGAUUCAAAUUCUUGAAGAUAUGCUCCGGUGUUGUAUUUUAGAAUUGAAAGGCAGUUGGGAGAAAUAUCUACCAUUGGUUGAAUUUGCUUAUAACAAUAGCUAUCAGUCAAGUAUACGAAUGGCACCGUAUGAAGCAUUAUAUGGGCGUAAGUGUAGAACUCCUUUAUAUUGGACUGAGCUCGGUGAGAACCGGAUUCAUGGAGUCGACUUGGUGAAAGAAACUGAAGAAAAGGUGAAAAUAAUUCGUGACUGUUUAAAGGCUGCCUCAGAUCGGCAAAAGUCGUAUGCGGAUUUAAAGAGAAAAGAAAUUGAGUUUCAAGUAGGUGAUAAGGUGUUCUUGAAGGUGUCUCCAUGGAAGAAGAUUCUGAGAUUUGGUCAUAAAGGCAAACUAAGUCCACGAUUUAUUGGACCAUAUGAAGUUACCGAGAGAGUUGGCCCUGUAGCAUAUCGGUUAGCUUUACCACCGGAGUUGGAAAAGAUACAUAAUGUGUUUCAUGUGUCGAUGUUGCGACGUUACCGUUCGGAUCCUUCACAUAUAGUUUCCCCUACAGAGAUUGAGGUCAGACCAGAUAUGACUUAUGAGGAAGAACCAAUAAAGAUUUUGGCUCGGGAAGUCAAGCAGUUAAGGAAUAAAAGUGUAUCCUUAGUAAAAGUACUAUGGCAAAAACAUGGGAUGGAGGAAGCUACGUGGGAACCGGAGGAAAUUAUGAGGAAACAGUACCCAAAUCUCUUUUCCGGUAAGAUUUUCGGGGACGAAAAUCCUUAAGGGGGGAGAGUUGUAACAGCCCGAUUUUAGACCUAGUCGGAAUAGUGGUUUCGGGACCACAAAUCCGACGAGGGAAAAUAUGGUUAUUAUUAUAUUUUUAUGGUCUACAAUUUCACGGAAAAUUUUCGUAAAAAUUUCGUUCGAAAAUUUCGACGUUUGGGCACUCAAUUUAGUCAAAAUGACUAAAUUGUAAAUAGUGCAAAAGUUGAGUUCUAUAUGUAGAAGUAUCUAAUUGAUAUGAAAUUUUAAAUUGGAGGUCUUUAUGUGGUAAUUAGACCAUUAGUUAGUUGAUGGACAAAAAUAGACAUAAGAAAUGAGAGAAAUAGAUUUUUUUAAGUGGGGGCAUAUUAGUCAUUUGGUAAUAAAAAAAUUAAAAUGGGAAAAAGAUGACAAAAAUCAUCAUCUUCCUCAUUAGUUGCUGCCGAAAUUUGAAGGAAGCCAUAGCUAAGGUUUCUUUGCUUUCUCAAGCUCAUAGUAAGUGCAUCCUAGCCCCGUUUUUAAUGUUCUUCGCAUUUUUGGAAUCCUCGUAACUCGGUUUAGCUUAUUCUAGCAAUAAUUCGUGUUAGGGCUCAUAUUUGGAAAAAUACCCAUAGGUGAAAUGUGUUUAUUUUGCUGUUUUAUGGUGGAAUAUGAAGCUAUAAAUUAUGUUAAACAACUUUUGCUAAGCGAUUUUAAGCGAAAACGGGUAAAUAGGCAUAAUCGGUAAAAAUAAUUAUUGUUCAUAAGUGUAUGUUAGAGUGAGAAUUUGAUGUUGCCAUAGAAGGGAAAAAUGUUCAGCAUGUCAUAAAACCUAAGAAUAAGUGAUGAAGUUUAAUUUCCGAGCUUGGGGACAAAAGUGUAAUUAUGCAAAAGUUUGGGGGCAAAAUUGUAAUUUUUCAAAAAGUUGGGUGGUGGAUUAUUUUAAUGAAUGUGAACAUUAAAUGAGUUAAAUUUGCUAUUAUAGAUCAAGAAAGACGUGAAGAUUAUCUCAAACGAGGAAAAGAAAAGAUAGUGGAGUGAAGUGCAAAAUUACGAUAUUUUGCACCGAGGUAAGUAAACACGUGACUUGAUGUAUUAUUUUGACAUUAAUUGAUAUAUGUUGAGAUUUAUUUGGAAUUAAAAUAAAUGUUUGGCCAUAUCCUAAAAAUGUUGUUAAAUCGGGAAAGGUGGUAAAGGGUUGCAAUAUAUGAUUUAUGGGUUGAACACUCGGAAUAAGCCGAAGUAUGUUGUACAUAAAGGGGUUGCUGUGUGCUGAUUCCCCGAUUCAUUGGUGGUGCUAUGUGCGAUAUCCACCGUAUCUUUGAAAUGUGAAAGGGGGUUGCUAUGUGCUGAUUCCCCCGAGGGGUUGCUAAGUGCUGAUUCCCCGGUUCAUUGGUGGUGCUAAGUGCGAUAUACACCGUAUCUCUGAAAUAAAAAGGGGGUUGCUAUGUGCUGAUUCCCCCAAGGGGUUGCUAAGUGCUGAUUCCCCGAUUAAGUGGUGGUGCUAAGUGCGAGAUCCACCAAUAACGGUCAACAUUCCGAGUGCUCAACGAAAAAGUGUGGAAGGUGAAUAUUGCCAUAUGGUGGAAAUUUUUAUGGGGCAAAUAUUGAGUUGGAUACUAAAUCGAUCCAUGUAUGAGAUGGGAGAAAAUAUCAAAAACGAAAAAAGGAACGAUUUAGUUAUAAACUGUGUUGAACAACAGCAGAUGGGUAACUUUGAAAAAUCACCAUAAAUGGUGGAAAAUGAAUGGGAAGCUGAAUAAUAUAUGAAAUUGAAGCUGAAUGUGUCUAUUUUCAUAUGAAAUAAAUAGAAUAAGCAAAAGAGUUGUAUUUUUCGAGAUAUCUGAAUUUUACUGAAACAGGGCUGGAUUGAUUUCGGGAUCCCCUGUUCUAACUUUGGAAAAUCACCAAAAAUUGUACAAAAAUAAUUAUGGUGUGAAAUUUAUAUUCCUGGAUUCCUUAUUGACUCUAUUUUUAAUAGAAACAAGCGAAACCAUUUUUAAAAUUUUGUACAGAGAGUUAAGUGAAUUUUUUUGAGGAAGGGUCAGAACCGUUGGGCAGUGAAACAGGGGAAGUUUUAAUGAAUAAACUGUACUAAUUGGCUGAGUAAAAAAUUCUGAAAUUUUUAUGGUGAAAUGGUAUAUGAGUCUAGUUUCAGGAAAAAUUUACGAAACUCAAUUUGGAGCCCUGUAGCUCCGGAUAAAAAUAAAUUAUCGACUAUGACGCAGAAAAAUAGUUUGCUGGAAAUUGCCUAAACAAUGAAGUUAUUCAUGAAUAAGUUUAUAUUUUGGUGUAGUUAUGUGAGUAAUUACUUAUUUAUCAUGUGUUUACUUACUAAGCUAUAUGCUUACUCGAUUUUAUUUUUCCCUUGAUUAUAGUGACUUCCGACAACUCGGAAAUUUGGAACGAAGUCAGACAAUCAUCCACACUAUCCUUCACACUUGGGGUAUUUUGCUACUAUCGUUCCGGAAAAUUAUGGCAUGUAUAGACGACCUAUGAAAUAUGGAAUCAUCAUGUAAAUAUAUGUUAUGGUUUGAUUUAAAAUGUGGUGUUCAUUAAUAGUUAAAUUGUGAGUAUUAUUAUAAAUGAGUUUGGUUGAUAUAUAUAUUGGAUUGUGAUUUAAAUUUGCAGGAGGUUUAAGCAAAAUUAAGCAGAAAUGCUGUCGAAUUUUUUUUUAAAAAACUUAGUAAUACCUCAUACUCUGUUCCGAGCCGGAAUACGAGUAAGGGGUGUUACAAGGGGUGUUACAUGAUAUUUACUUUAAUGGUUGUCGAUACUUUAUCUUGCAAAUAUGUUUGAAGAUAGCUUGAAUCCAACUUCAUCUUAGAGGAUUGAGUCUGCUUCAAGUGUUGUCGAGAUUUGAUAUUGAAAACAUGUUUUUUUCCUUUGUUGGUGCAAUCGGAUUGGGGAAAACGUUGAUCUAAAGGUCAUUUAGACAAACCUUAUUUGUGUUGGUGCAAUCGGAUUGGCGAGAACUUUGAUUCAAAGGUUGUUUAGACUUGAUAUUGGAUGGAAGAAUGAUUCUGCUUUUAGUGCUUUCUAAGCUUGAAAAAACAGGGUUGGUCUCCUUCUUGUUUUCUAUUAGUUGAACAACAUCAAAAAAACAACUUUGUUGGUAGACGACUUUUGACUUAUGGUAUAUGGGGAUGCCUGUUGAUGAAACUCGAGAGUGCACCAUGGGUGUAUUGAAAAAUGGUGAAACACAUUGUAAAUUACUAUUUUUCUUUUUUCACUUUAUAUGGGUAAAUUCUUAGCGAUUAUAGUCUUCCAUUUGGUAAUCAUUGUGCUUUCAUUUUGCACACAUAAAGCUAAACCAUAGUAUUAUAUAUAUAAUUUGUUGUUUACUGUUUGUCCCAUUCUGGGUAACUGUUAUUUUUAGGUAUUUUUCACUUGAUGAUUCAAUCAGUGUUGUGUACAGGUUUAAUGGAAUGUCUUGGUUCCUUUACUGGGCAGUCUAAGUUUAUAAUACUUAUAAAGGUUCAGUCCUCUAUUGGGUAUUUUUAGAUUUUUGCCUGGUCAUCUAAUUUGAGCCAUAAAACCUCAAACAAAAAAGCCCAUCUAGGCUGAUUAUAGACAUAAUAUCCAGUAAUAUAUAUUAUUACACAGCCUAAACCCUGGUCGUAUCCACACUGUAAUAUUACAAUUUACAUAUUACAGUUUCCAGUGUUCUUGGCAAUAAAUUUUAUAUUUUGAAAAUAUUUUUAAAAUGUGAAUAGUUUUUCCAAUGGUGAGAAGUUACCGUGGGUAGUUUAAUUAAGGAUUUGAUGGGUAAUUAUUUUUAUAUAAAUGAUAUAAUUUUUGUUAAAUAUAAAUAUUAUAUUAACAAAAAAUAUAUAAGUACAUUAAUAAAAAAAUAUUAAACUAGUCUUACAUUAUGUGUAUAUUUUAGAUUUAGUUUACAUUCUUUAACUAAAUCAUGAUAAAUUUUUAUAUUUUUUAAAAUUUAAAAUUUCAAUUUUUACAUAAUUUUUUUAUUAAUUUGCUUUUUAAUAUUCCACGUGUAAUAAUAUAUUUGUAAUAUUAUCGAGAAAUCUGAAAAUUUUAAAAAUUAAAAAUUAACCUGAACGAUGUUUAAGACUAACGUUAACCUCACUAGUAAUUCGACUCUGUUUAUAUUUCAUCAGGAAAAAGCUCUUCUUUGAGUGAAGGAGCAAUCCACUGUAUCUGAAUGUAUGUAAUAUCCCAUAGAUCAUCUUCCUCCUUACGUACCAAAAUCCCAGUUUCCCGCAUCUUCGUUAUCAUCUUCCUCAACAACUCCGGCACCACUUCCUGCAAUUUCGUUUCCCCAUAUUCUCCCAAAUCAGCUUUCAUGCACGUAUCCAUCCUUCUCAAUACCCCUAACCAAAACGUCCUAAACCCUGGAUUCUCCAUUAUCUGAUUCAAGUAUUGUAAAUACACAUCCGUCAGCAGCUCCAUUGACAGCUUUAAAGUCCCCUCCAUGCUUCUCGUUUCCCUCUCCGCGUUUUCCCGUCGAGAAUAUUCUAUCAUCUUUUCAUGUUGAUCAUCCACCAUAGCAAAUAUAACAAGAGUAAAGCAGUUUAUACAUCUUGAUGAAGAUAGUUCCAGGUCUUCAGCUAGUUUAAACCCUCUACGAAGGGCCAAUAUUGCAUGGUUUCUUAUCUCUUCUCGACGUGCUAAGCUGGUUUUCCUUAAGGCUUCACCUAGUUUAACAAAUAAACUCAUUAUAAAGUUGACGGAUUCUAUGCCUUUGGGGUUAUCCUCGCUUGAUGAAGUACUGGUAUUGCUUGAAAAGCUGUAACUGUUGGUUUGAUCAGAGGCGGUUGUAUACCAUUGGAUUAACAGCUUCACUGAGUCUGACAUUAGAUCGAGGAUCUUCAAGUUUUUCUCGAGAGGACUGUUUUUAAGAGCAACGAAACCAAAUGCACAAUCGAUACAGUAAGCAUAGUUUAUCUUUGAGAUAUGGAAGGCAUCGGACAUUAACAUGAUUAAAGCUUCCACUGCUUGAUCAUAGGUUUCUGGGUUUCGACCAGUGAUUGAAAGCAAAUGAAGAACCGAUUUCCAUCCUAGUUGUGUCUGCAAAUUUGCUGGGUAUUCUGUCAGAAUCUUGCUCACUGACUGUGUUAUGUACGCACAACAUGUGUCGAGGAUUUCUUUAUCUAAUUUCCACAUCAAAUUUAUGGACUUAAAAAUGAGUUCCUCGGGUGUUUCAUCGGCUUGGUAUGAAGCCAGAAGCUUGAGGCAGACUUUGAAAAGGCCAAUAAUGCCUUUUUCUGCAAAUGGGACAGGGGAAAAUAAAGGGAAUUGAGCAACUGCAAGUAAAUAAUCAUUGUAAGAAGGCCAAAAAACUGGGAACCUGUGAAGGUUGGCUAAAGAGAUGGCAAUGAUCAAAUCCCAGCAGAAUCCAACUGUUUCUUCUUCUUCAAUGGGUGUACUGAACUUUUGGCCUUUACCAGCUGCUGCAAAUAUCAAAGAACGCCCAAGGUUCAUCAAUGCCUCAACGGGUAACUGAAAGCUGUUGCCAAAUAUACUCCCGAUUUGGCAUUGUCUUAUAAUCUUCAAAUUUUGCUCAAACUCGCUCAUUCCCAGAGAUAUGGACUCUUCCAUGCUAUCUAGUGUUAGGAAAUGUGAGAAUCGACUAACCACACCAGCAGUGUUUUUAGAGAACUUAGAAUCAUGAUUGGGGAUUAUGACUCCGGAUUCGGAUUUUGAACCUUCUGGUGCAUCUGAUGACGAAGUGACGUCGAAUUCGAUGACCGAUUGAGGAAGUAGUCUAAGCCGUUUGAGUUUCAACAAGCAGUCGAUGAUGUUCCUCCAACCGCCUCGAAGCGACCUUCCAAAGUUGUUAGCUAUGGUGAAAAGCGCAAGUGUAGCCAUUCUUGGUUUCAUAUCAUUGCUGAACGCAAACAGGGUUUCUUCGGCCGAUGCAUACGGGUUCAAAAGCGUCGUAAAUUUACAAAAUGACGCGACAAGCUCGUCGAGCGUGUCGGCCAGCCCGUACUGAGCUAUCCUAGCUAAAGAGAUCAAACCUUCAAUACAUUCGUGUAGCAUUUCAUCUUCGUCUGCAUGUUCAAAGAACGCCGAAAGAGCUGCAAUCGUCGGGCCGGCAACGCAGGCAAACAAAUCUCUUCCCAAUCGACGAUCGAAAUCACAAAGGAUAUACGGUUGCAUUAGUUUAGCUCGGUUCAUCAACUCGAUCCAUCGGCUCGGGUUCAUCUCUACCGGACCAGAUUGACCGAAAAGCGUGAUCGCAUUAUUCGAAAUGGAAUGAAAGAGCUCAGACAGGUACUCUCUAGGAAGAUCUUGCCCACCAUUAAUUGCUCUAUUGUUCCUUAUAAACUCAUCUUCCGUCAUCUUCUUCUUCACUUGUGGAUUAUGUUGAUCUGUAUUAAGCAUAAUAAGAGAAUAACAAAGAAUAAACACCGAAUCUUUCGUCACAAAUAUUUCCGAUGAUUGUUGAUCAAAGAAUCUCUCCGAGAAAGCUUCGAGUAUUCUCUGAAUCUUCUGUGACUCUCCGGGGAGUCUGAACGUUUCAAGAUAAGUUCGUAAAGCAGAAUCGAGAAUCAUGCCAUGAAAUUCAAAAGUUGCAGUGAAUUCUUUAAGAACUUGAAUGUGAAGUUCAUCAGGGUCACCCAGAUAAUCACCGAUCAUGUUCUUAUCCAGCCCCGGAGUGUAUCGGAAAAAAAAGGCAAAAGCUUUAGGAUUCGGUGGAUCAGAAACCAAUUGGCAAUGUUUCAGAUACUCCAAUCCUUUCUUUUCAUCUCGACUGAAAUGACUAGCAGCAAUUAAAAUCUUCCUUUUUUGAGCUUUCCUUACACGUAUAUAUUCCACCCAAGUUUCUAAAUCAUCCUUGGGUUUCUCUACCCAAAAGGGUCUGUAUUCUUUAAUUUCAAUAGGAUAUGGAUCUGAUGGGGUUGAAUCUUCUUCUUUAUCGAUGUUUGUAGAAAUGCUAUGAAUCAUAAUAAUCAAUCCUUCGAAAGCUUGGACUUGUAAUGUCGAGGUUGGACCGUUCCCUGGAAAGGCUUGCUUGCAUAGCAACUUCCCUACAUCUUCGAAAAUGUUUCUGCAAACCGGAUCACAAUCGUAAUUUACAUAAGCUUCGAUUACAAACGUUGGUUGCCUGAAAAAAUUUAUAAUUGCUUCCAAUGCCACUUCCUGGAGCUGCAAAGAAACUCCUGGUGCGGCGAUUCUCAACAAUACAAACGAAAAGAAAGCCUCUAAUUGAAGACGUAUGAACCUGCAAAAAGGUAAAAAAGUAACAAUUAUUUUUAUUAUAAUUUGAUAUAAUGUAAAAUUUAAUUUUCAAUGUUUACAUAUUUGAUUAAAUCAGUAAAAUUUAACCUUUAAUCUUAAAAAAAUUUUGAAUUCUUUCUCGUUUUCUAAUAAAAAUACAUUAAAAUUUUAAAUAUGACAACUUGACCUUCAUUUUUUUAUUACUAUUUAUAAAUUUUAUAUUAGUUGAUAAAUAAUGUAAUAUAAAUAUGAAAUACAUAUUAACCAAGGAUUAACAAAGCUAACAUCAUUCCAUGGAAAAAGAAAUAAAACCUGCGAAGAAAGUGAUAGAUAUUCAAGACGGUGCUGCAAAUCAUGGAAAGAACGAGUGGGGUUGAACAAGUCCCGUAAUGGAUCAAAUGGUGAAAUAAAUCAUCUUGUACCAUCCUCAAAAGCUUUGGGUGUUUCCCAAUUUCAUCACCGCUUAAUUCUAUAGCACAGUUUAUCAAAACCAAUGCGAAAAGUUGAACAUCUUCAUCGGCUGUGUGACAAAUUGGUCCUUCAGUAUUGUCCGCAACUUCAACUACAUUCAACAACGAACAUAAGAACUGGAAAAUAUCUACGGCGCAACGUAUUCCGUACCCCGAGUUUUCAUCGAUGUCGUCGGUAUCAGAUUCCGAGCUCUCCCCUUCGUUAACGUCGACAUCGGGCAAUCGCGAAAAGAUGAUCUGAAUCAACUCGUGCAUGGUAUGCCUUGCCGUGCGUUGAAGCAGAUCUCCCCUGGUUACUGAUUGUUGAACGACCUGAAAACAUGUAUUCACAAUGGUACAAACAGCCUGAUCGGUGAGCAAAACCGAUGCAUUGUGUCUCAUCGUCGCUGUUAAAACCUGUAAAAUUUUCAUCAUUACAGCGUCUUCUGAAACAGGGUCUGUUUGUUCCAAGCGGCAGCUGGUGAUCCCUGUAACGACGAUGUUAAUAGCGUCUUUGGCUCCUGGGGUUUUCUCAUCGAAGAUACCGAGUUUAAGAAUCUUCAAAAUAGCUGAAAGAGUAACCCCGGUGGCUGCUGCUGGGAUACCAUCGCUUUGAACAACGUCAAGGAAAGGGGAGAGAUAAAUGCAAGGAUCAAUGGUUCGCCAUUCUUGAUGAGGAUUGAAGAUGAAACCCCUUAAUGAUUUCAAGGAUUGUUGGAGCGAAGAGUCAAAAUAAUCUUCUUGGGGUGAAAUGAAUUGAGAUGUGGGAUCGAUCGGCCGCCGUAUCACGGCUAGAACUGCCCCUACCUCGGUGUUCAACAUGCAAGAGAGUCCCAGCUCUUUCCUCUUCGAUUUCAGCAUUUCUUUCUUCUUAUAAAAAAAAUGCCUAGGAAUCUUAGUUUUUUUUUUCAUGCAUGGAAUAAUAAUAUUAGGGUGUGGGAGUCGAGUGUUUUUUUUUCCUCGUGUGAUUAGUGAGAAAAACAGUAAUUAAAUGUAAUUAACGUGAAUGUGAAAGAAAGAAAAUCAUAUCUCCAAAAAAAUUGGAAGAAAGGUAGGCGGAUUGUUUGCUAAACUUGAGGUUAAUUAAAUACUUUGUUAAUUAACCGUCUUUAGUAAAUUUAUAUGGUUAAGGGUGAAUAUUUGAAGACUUCUACCACUAAUAUCUCCUCCAUUUGUUCAGUUUUAUUGACUUAAAAUUGUUUUUUUGUUUUUUUUUUUUUGAGAGAAUUAUAAGAUGUAAUAGAUUGGACCCCAAAAAAAUUACAUUGAUUAACCAUUCGCUGGCAUUCUAGACCAUUUAUUAUGGAAAUCAAAUCAGAAUGUCACAAACCAGAUUAUAUUAUUGGUGGAUUGCUAUAAAACCAGCUCCGGUGUUCAUAAUCACUCUGCUUAUUUAGUGCCAGGGAGAAUCAUGAAUGGGAGUAACAAUGGACUUGAUUUGCAGAUACUGGUUAAGGGCAUCCAAACCAAAUUCCCUUCCAAAGCCACUCAUCUUAUAUCCACCAUAAGGGCAAUCCACAUCAAAUGCUGUGUAACAAUUGAGCCAUAUAAUCCCCGCUCUGAUGGAUCUUGACACCGUGUUCGCCACGUUCAAGUUCUUGGUUAUUACCCCUGCUGCUAGCCCAUAUGUUGUGUUGUUUGCUCUCUUUAUUGCUUCUUCCAUUGUUCUGAAAAUUAAUCAAACCACUCAAUAAUUUGAAAACUCCCAACAACAAACAAUAGGAAAGGAAAGAAAAUUUACUUGAAUUUCAUCAAUGACAUCACAGGGCCAAAAAUUUCUUCUUUUGCUAUAGUCAUGUCCUCCUGUUUGUGUGCACAAACAAAAUUUACUCAAUUGUUAAAGCAAACUUCCAAAAAGUAAAUCUAUUAUAAAAAUUGGAUUAAAUUAAUUUUUUUUAUUAUUAAAUGAAUCAAAUCUAAUUUUGCAUUAUUAAAAAAAUAAAGUUAAUCCCGUCCCUGUAAUAUAAUAUAGGUACCUCAAUAGCAUAGUUAUUUUCUAAGGAAUUCACCUUAACAUCAGUAAAUAUCGCAGGCUCAAUGUAGAAUCCCUUGCUGCCCAGCCGCUUGCCCCCUGUUAACAACGUAGCUCCUUCUCUUUUUCCAUGCUCAAUGUAUGAGAGAAUUUUCUCGAAUUGCUUCUUAUCGGUCUAUGUCAUUUGGUCAAACAUUGCGUUAAUUAAAGGAACUAGAAUACAUAUAUAAAAAUAAGGUUAAAAUAUAUCAUAAGUACUUGUACUCUUUAUAAAUUUAAAAUUUAGUCCUUAUACUUUUAUUUUUAAUAAUUUAGUCCCUUUAAUUUUUAGAUUUUAAAAUUUAAGUUCAUUACAAUGUUAUUUUUUAGUUACAUUGCUGCAAAGUGAUUUUUUUUUAACUUUAAAAUGUCAUACCAACCAAUAUAACAAAAAAAUAUAAUUGUAUCAAUAAUUGAACACGAAUUUUGAUAUCUGAAAAGUAAAAGGGAUUAAAUUCAUGAAAAUAAAAGUACAGAAACUAAAUUUAAAUUUCAAAUGUGUGAAAAAUAUAGAAAUUUAUGACAUAUUUUAACUUAAAAAUAAUAGUAUAACUUAUCCAUUAUCAUUCUUACUUGGGGUCCUUGAUUAACUCGAGGAUCAAAAGGAUCUCCAAUCACCCAUGCAUUUGCCUUCUCUACCAACUUUUUUACAAAAGUUUGAUAAAUUCCUUCUUGAACAUAAACACGAGAGCUUGCAACACAAAUUUCCCCCUAUGAAAUUUAGAAAAAAUGAGAAAAAUUAGGCUGAUAAUGACAUGCAAUAAGAGCAACCCCCACACACACACGCUUACUUUGUUGUAAAAGAUGGCAUUGAAAGCAAUAUUUACAGCCUGAUCAAUAUCAGCAUCUUCAAAUAUUAAUAGAGGUGAUUUUCCACCCAACUCCAAUGACACUGGUUUCAGAUUGCUUGCUGCUGCUGCUGCCAUUAUCUUACGUCCAACUUCAGUAGACCCCGUAAAAGUCACCUACAAAACCCACCGAACAUAACAAUAUUUCUUCAUAAAUGUGUGUUUAGUUAAGUUUCUCAUCCUAAACAUGAAACUAAAGUCUCACUUUAUCAAUGUCCAUAUGAGAGCUAAUGGCAGCUCCCGCAGUCUCUCCAAAUCCAUUUACAACAUUCAGCACUCCGUCAGGGAGGCCAGCCUGAAAUCAAUAAAAAACCAUUUAAUCAUUUUAAAAGGGUUUUAAACGAAUUAUCUAAAGCUUAAUUACCAGUUUAGCGAGAUAAGCAUAAUAAAGAGCCGAGAGAGGAGUCUGCUCAGCAGGUUUGACGACCAUGCUGCAGCCUGCGGCUAAUGCCGGGCCAGCUUUCAUGAAAAACAUGAUAGCGGGAAAGUUCCAGGGAAUUAUACUUCCGACUACUCCAAUGGGUUCCCUCAGAGUGUAGCCCUGAAAUCCUUUGGACAAUUUUAACACUGUUCCAUGGAUUUUAUCGGCUGCACCUGCAUAGUAACGAAGAUUCCUUGCUGCACCUGGGAUGUCCAUGGCCUUACAAUGAGAGAACAGCUUGCCCCCAUUGAUGGCAUCCAGUGCGGCUAAUUCUUCUACGUUUUUUUCAAUUAGAUCAGCGAACUUCAUCAUGAUCAUGCCCCGCUCCUGAUAUCCAAUUUAAGGGAAAUUUUUCAAAAGAAGAAUAUGCCAAGUAAAGAAGUAUAGCAAGCAAAAUGGCAAUAUUUAGCCUUCCUUCUUUUGGCAUAAGAAUUUGUAUAUAUAUAUUAUUAUUCUCUUGGUAAAUAAAGAGGCUAAGCCUUAAACAGCAGUUAAUCAAAUUGAUUAAGUAGAAUGAAUUUAAACAGUCUAGUAGUGAUUUAAUUAACAUGCAUGAAUAUAUUUAUUUAAAAUGCGUGAAUGUAAUAGAUUAUAUUAAAAUACAUGUAUAAUAUGAUCGAUGUGAGUGAACAAAUAAAAGAAAAUUUUCAUUCCAUUACCAUCUCUAAAUUCUAUCCAACAGCUUCCAACAAUAUAUUUUGAUUUUUUUAUUCAUAUAUUUUGAAUCUUUGAUGCAUACAUAAUUACCCUUCCUUUAUGAACAACUAUACCUACGCAACUUAAUGCAGUAUUUAGACAAUAACAUAUCACAAGUAAAAUUUACAGUUACAGUUAAACAAAUUUCAUUAAAAUACAUAAUAACGACACGUUCAUCAUGAAAGGUAACAUUAAUCAUCGAAAUAAUUAAAUAAAUUAAUAAAACCGACACCAUAUCCAACUAAUUAAUUCAAGAAACUCAUAUAAAGAUAUGAAAAUGAAGUUGAAUAUGUUA
rnacentral:lncRNA from 1 species